rnacentral:lncRNA from 1 species
CAAUGUUUUCAAGCUAGAUAAAUUUGUGAAUGUAUACUCAAUUACGUACCAAAAAUUCAACAAAGUGAUUCAAUCUAAUUUUCUUAAGCAUUAAUAUAUGCAGAUUCUUCUUCGAAGUAAUCAAUUAUAGGUAAACCAUACAAUCAAAAAACAGUUAUAGGCAAACCAUGAAACAAUAUCCCGACUCUCUAUUCAUUAUACUAUCUCUCCAAAGGAAUUAUAUCUUUGUAAGAGCACCAAGUAGUAGUCCAUUUAACUUUAGAAGCUUCCUCUCAUCCAUGAACUUUCUUAACCUGCAGUAGAGAAUUAAAUUUACAUCAAUAUAUAAUAAUACUACAAUAAUAACUUUAAUUUAUUUUCUAGCGAGUUUUCGUUGUAUCGAUGUACUCUAUCAAUUUGAAUGAAUAAAUAUCGUUUAUUUGUGUCAAAAAAAAAAAAAAACUUUAAUUUAUUGAGACAAUGGUUACUUGAGAACCAAGUUAAAUUUUGAUCUAUGUAAUACUGCUAUAGUAAUAACUAAACAGCCUGAAAACUAAUUUCAUCCUGCUUUUGUUUUAGGUUUCUCCCUGAUAUCAUCCUACAUGAAAUAAUCAGUUUUAAUCCGCAAUAAUCGGAAUAUAUGUCAUCACCUCACUCUACCGAAUUUGAAAGGUUAUUCGUCACCAGCGAAGAACUAGUCCCUUCAACCAGCAUUUGUUGAAGUAUGGCUCAUAUAUACAAGACACGGAAGAAGGCAAGGUACGGUUCAGGAGUAAUAUUGUAAACUGAAUCGGAAUAUCGUGCGUUCAUUGUCUUUCUCUUUCGUUCUCUUAUUUAAUCUUUUGUUACUAGUUGUUCUAACAACAUUAAUGUUAGCUAUGUCUAUAAAUUUGUUUUUCCUAAUUCAAACUCCCUCAUUCUCUCUGCAUUUAACCAUUGUCAAGCAAUUUGAAGUCUGCAAUAUCCAACACACUAGACUCUAAUCUCUCUUGACAAAAUUUGCACUAAAUGUACGAAUUGCAGUUAAACUCAAGUACAAUUGUUAUCUAAUUUUAUUAUCCAUUUAUUACAAUUUGAUCAUACAAAAUUCUAUGAUUUAAUUUUAAGGAUGCUAGCUAAAAGACAAACAAAUGUUCGAUCUUAGCUAUGAGAGGUGUAUGCAUUUAGUGUACGACCAUGAACUCGUGCCUCGAACAAAAUUACUCAUAUGGUCUAGCGGAAGAGAUCAGUCUCCCAUAGCAUAACGAACGAACAAAUGUUCGAUCUAAACUGUGAGAGGUGUAUAUAUUUAGUGUUUGAUCAUGCCUCAAACAAAAUUACCGCCUAGUAACAUAGAAGAAAAAAAUUACAAGUGUACUUGCCUUAUUUGUUGCCAAAGUAGCACCACUAACACCCAUAUUACCCAAUGCUUUCUCUGUUCUGACUAAGUUUUUUCUUGGAAUUGAAUGAAAUUUAUGAUGAGGAGGAGGAACCGAUGAGUGUGUCUCAGGACCUUUAUAAUCAAUCUCAUAUACCUCUGAAGGCAAUAUUGCUUCUGAUUCCCCUGUAAUAUACAAUUAAUUAAUUAAACUAGAAUUAAUUAGUAGCACCAACAAAUAUAUACAACUUACUCUAUCAUGACUUCCUAAUAUUAUAAGUUUAAACUUUAUCAAAAAAUAUAUAUAUUAUAAGUUUAAAGCAUAUGCUAUAAGCAUGUGAUGUUAUGUUAAACAAACCUCUAGAGAAGUGAGGGAGAACAAGGAAGAGAAAGAGAAAGAAGCAUGUUGUGAAGGUAGACAUAUGCUCCAUAUUUGGUAUGCUCCAAAAUUUCUUUAGGCUUUUAAAUCUUAAAACUAUAUAUCAGAAGUAUAUAUGUAUAUAAAGCCAAACUUAGGAUCGUUUAUAUGGUGGAAAAAUUAAUUAUAAGAAGUAGUGGGUGGGGAUUGUGUGUGUGUGGGAGGGUUCGUUCAGGCAAGAACCACAGCUAAGGCUGGCUCAUUGAACCAAUGUCUCUAAUCUGUAUUUUUCUUUUUUCUUUUUUUCAGUUUUUUUCAUAAGAGUUUCUGCAAUAUAUAUCAAAAUCAUUUUCAUCCACACAGCAAUUAUAAGUUGCCAGAUACUGGUGGGGUGUGGAUGUGUCGGUUUGGGAUAUCAAUCAAUGCUUUUAUUUCAAACCCAACUUUAACGGUUUUUUCUAAAUUACCUCUUUGGAGGCAAUUUACCCCUAUUAAAAAUAUCUCAUUUUUUUCAUCUUUUUUAUUUCUAUCUACAGAACAUAAAACAUUUUCAUCUAUUUCGUUCAACAUGUGAUUUUCACCUAUUUUGUUUCAUAAUCGGAUCUUACUUGUCAUUGAGGAUCAAUUCAUCAAAAAGUAAUGUAUGCCUCGUAAUUUUUGUUUUCUUACAAUUAGUUAAUAUUUUUAUCUCAAAAAUGUUAAAUUUCUUCAUCUCUAUCAUUUAAUAUGUAAUCUUCACCUCCUACGUUUUAGAAUCGAAUCAUAAUUGUUACUAGGUUUAAAUUAUCCCCUAUUUAACAAAUGUAGAUCUGACCCUGUAUUUACUUUUAGAACAUUAUCAUAAAAAUAACAUUUCAUGUUCUGUCAUAUUUGUUUCAACUUUGAAUUUAUUGGUCAAAAGUUCAUAUGAAAAAAAAGUCACUUUAAAAGAGAGAAUUAACAUUGCUAUCCAACAUAUUAUAUUAUUGGAUAGAUUUUAGAAACGGUUAAACAAGUUAUUUCAAACUUAUAAUAUAUAUGUUUAUUUAUUAAAAAAAAAAAACUUUGAAUAUGCUAAGUUGGAUUUGGUCAACAAAUUUAGUAAGGGAAAAAGAGAUGACAUGAAAUGAAAUGUGGUUGGGACAAGUCCAUGUGUGUAUAAAUAAUUGAAAUCUGUCAUGACAUGGACAAGGUGUAGUGUUUACUCUGCACACACUAAUAGUCCUACAUGUGUUGACACUAAACACUGAUCUUACACAGAAGUAGUAAUUGUAUUGAGACGUUGCCACUUCACCAAACAUGUGCCAAAAAUAAUAUUUCCGCUACUGAUUUCCUUUUAUAGCUUAUUCUUUGCAAAUUAAUAUAACCGAAAAUUUUCAUUGAAUGAUGUAAAGAAAGUUGAUCGAAAUUAUUCACUGAAAUUUACAUGACUGCAGUUAGUUGUGAAGAUAUGUCAAAAGUACACAUAAACAGUAUGAUCACAGGAAUGUUUGGACAAUUAUGCGUAUUUACUAUUUACCUAUUAUACUAUGCAUUUACAAUAUACCUUGGCCUCUUGAACCUGGAAAGACCCGCAUGCAGAUUAAUUUUAUGUUGAAUGAGAAAGUACAGUUACAUCUAUUUAUUAGACCAUAAUGGUACCUCAACAGACCUCAGAAAAACCACAUGCAUUGGUGCUAAGGUUGUAGGACCGUUAGGUCCUAGUGCAAUUGAAUCUAGAUCUAAUAGGAAUCAAUGAAAUGAAACCAUAGCAUGUAAGCUCAAUUUGGGGUGUACAUUGUCAAUAAAUCAAACUGAAUUGGAUUGCUUAUAUGUCCUUAAAAACUACUUUUAGACCGGUUUAUUUUUGAGAAUUUCUUUUCCCCACUUCUUAUACUCUAAUCUGCCCAUCAAAUUUCUCAUUUUACACGGUUUGAAUUAUAUAAUCUGAAACAUUUUUAUACGGAUUAUAUAAUCUGAAUCUCUUAAAAAUACAUGUAAAUUAUUAUGAUUCCUCCAUUUCUUAUUUCAAAACAGUUCGAAAAUAUAAUCCAAAAAAAAUAAUAUUAACAGUUCCGGUUAUAUAAUGUUAAAUGUGGCAAUCCCUCAUCUAACCAGUUUUUGACAACACUUGUAGUCUCUAUGUUAAAAAAAGAAAAAAAAAUCUGAAUUUUUGUUUUUAAAUGGCCUAUUAGGGGGGUAUUCUGGAUUUUUUUUUUUUUUUAAAGGAUUGUUUUUUCUUAAAAUGGCCUAUUAGGGGGUAUUUUGGAAAAAAAAAUAUAUAUUAAAAGGACUGAUUCCAUCCCAAAAUUUUCUAGGGGGUAAGCCGAAAAUGAUUUAUUUUACAUGGGAAAAAGCACUAUUAACCCUUCUUUGAUUCACAAUGUGUAAUAUAGGAUUCCAAAUCCAGGAGGAUGAUUGGUUUUGCUGAGCAAGUGAAUGGAUUGUACAACAAAGGUCUUUGUUGACCAUAUCUUACCAUUCCCAUAAGAACUGCACAGCAGGUUUGAAGAUGGUAUGAAUUGUCAAUGGUGACCAUUACAUUAUAACCGCCUCCAAUGAAAAGGUAAGAAAUAAAAAAGAAUGAAAAAAGAGGAGAAUUGCAAUAAAAAUAUAGAAAACAUGCAAGGCUAUUUAUAGUCACAACACCAUCUUAGAUUGUAACUAUAGUCAAAGAAAACAUGUAAAAUUAAUAAAAUCUCCCAAAAAUGUAUUAGACACACCACAAACUGUUCAAACAUUGGUUGUAACACCAUCGUACAAAUUCUGGAAUAUUUUGGAUUAUCUAAUCUGAAUGCAUGUCCAGUACUGGUUCAGAUUAUAAAUUCUGAAACUUGUCCAGAUUGUUUAAAUUUUGUGCUUUGGAGAGUUUUGCGCGUUUCGAAUUAUGAAUCUUAUUCAGAACACAUAAAAUAGAAAAAUAUGUCAUUAAUGAAAUUCUACAACAGCAAUAUAAAUUAAACAAAACAAUUUCAACGACAUAAUUUCAAGAGGAUAAUUCAACAACAAAAUGCAACAACGUAAAUUAAUAUAAUUAAACACAAACAAAAUCAUGGAUCAAACGCGAGAUGUGGACCCUAAACAGAUUAGGUUUCUUCCCGUUGUAGUAAACUACAACUAGUGCUCAUAUCUAUUUGAUAAGUGUUCAUAUGUGAUGGUGUUUGCACAUGAACCAUACAAGUCAAUUUAUUGACGGUUAUGUGCUUUGUGAACCAUAAAAAUUGUCGGUGCAAUAUGAACCACAAAAUAAUCCUGCAUUUGACUAGCUUGUUCGGAUUAUAUAUUUCAAAACGUAUCCAAAUCACAAUUUUUAACAUUGUUUGGGCAUGUUUCAGAUUAUAUAAUUUGGACAAGUAUAAGUCAUGAUUUUUUAUUAUAUGUCUAGGGUUAAUUAAGUAAAUGGUUAUAAAUAUUCAUAAUUUCUUUUUUAGUCCCUAGAAAAUAAAAUCUAACUUUGUAGUCCCUGUAAAAUUUUCCAUUGGUAUUUUUAGUCCUUGUAAAAAAUUUAUGACAACAAUUUUGGUCCCUAAAAAGCUAAAUGAAAAUGUUACAUAGACUAAAAAGUGCAAUUUUAUUUUGUUGGUACUAAAAACGAAAUUAUGAAUAUUUACAGGUCGAUGGUCGACAAGAUUUGGAAUGUCUACUAAUUUCAGGUCAAUGUGUCAUUUUUUACACAUUUUAUUGACUGUAUUACACGUUUUGGAUUGAUUGUAGAUACAAUAUAUUGUAUUACGCGUCUUCUUUCCUUUUCUUUUGGGGAAGUUAUGAUGUCAUGGUUUCACUAUUGGUCUUUCAUACGAAGGGUCAACUUAUGGGUUAGUAUAAAUGGUCAACGUGGGAUUGUCUUAUAUCAACUUGUAUUUCAUAUCAGUUUGAAUCUCAGAUUGUUCAAAUCAGUUUCCACCUUCUCCUUUUCCAUCACGUGUUCUCAAAUUCUUGUACUACAAAUUUAGUUUUAGUUGUCAAAUAUUGUGUACUACAUUGUGUUAUCUCAAUGUAAAUGUAUUAUAAAAUCUUGUUCAAUAUUAAAUUUAGUUGUCAAUUUUAAAUUAUGCCGCUUUAAAUUAUAUCAUUUUAAAUUAUUCCUUUUAACAAAUUGAGAACAAAAUUGAGUAAAUACAAUUCAGAUUUUAUAAUCUAAAAAGGUCAAAUACACUAUGGAUUAUAAAAUCUGAAUGAGAACAAAAUUAUCAAGUUAGAAGGCACGACAGAAGUACAUGGGGUUGAAAAAGAAAUUCAAUGUGCCAAUCACUUAUGAGAUGUGGCCCAAGGCUCAUCAAAUUACAAGACUACUAUUUGGAAGAACAUAAAAGGUUCUAUCAUAUUACAUGACGCAUGUACCAACCAUUACUCUCCCCACCACCACCCUCGAUAAUAUCAUGUGUCGCAUAGAGUUCAAAGGUGUACUUGCUAUCUUUAGUAAAAUGGUUGAUUUUGUAAGUAAAAAGGGGGAAGGAUUGUGAUAUUCAUACUAAAAAAGUAAGAGUUCAGUCUUUUUUUUUGAAAUGUUAAUAGUGUCUCCGGUGCACUCUAAGGAUCAUAAGUAAUAAGUAUUUAUAAAAAAUAUGUGUAAUCAAUGCAUUUAAAAUCAAAAUAUUUGACUUUUUUAAAAAAUAAUUGUUUAUUUUAGAAUGCUUAAGAGUGUCUCGGAUGCACUCAUUAACAAAACUUUUUUUUAAAAAAAAAUUACCUUCAUAUUGUAAGUACCUUUUUCUUUUUGAAAUUUUUGUUUAGAAACAAUAAAACUAUUGGCCGUAUAUGAAAAUAAGUUAGUGUGCACAAAAAUUUUGGUGAAUUGGCAAUCAAUAUUUACCUUUAUUUAUGUGGUAAGAUAAGACAUUUUCACAUAGUUCAAUUCUUACAUAGACCUGACUGAAGUAUAUAGUAGUUGCUUUAAAGAGUACAAGUCUUUUUCCUUCAAAGUUCAUAAUUUUGUAGACUGGAUACAUAUAUGACUAGUGUUCGAUAUUCAUAUCAAAUCAUCAUUUAUAUUAUGAUUUUGAUUAUUAUGGCUUGUGAUAACCUUUUACGUAGUAACCAAUCUCAACUCAAUAUUAGAGAAUAAUUCAUGAAAAACUAAUUUUAAAGAUGAUUUGGUAAAAUUAUAAUAUGAGUCAUUCUAUUUUAAAUUAAUGUUCAAGAUCAUAUAAAAAAUUAUGUUCGAGAUAGAUAACGGGUUAAUUCUAUUUUAAUAAAAAUUGUUUAGAAAUGACCAAAAAAUUUCAGCGAUAAUUAACUGCAGCUCACUUUUCUCUUCUGAAACUCACUGAAAGUUUUUGAUCAUUUUCAUGUAUUUUUAUGUGAGAAAAACAAUGUUUUUAGUGAAUUAAAUCAAAAUCCUCAAGCAACAACUUCUAGAAGAAAGAAAAUAAGUAGACAAUUGGAAAGUGAUUUGGUACCUAAUCCACCCGGAGCUUGGGCUGAGUGUUUCUUAGCCAAUUUGGAUUGACAAUAUACACCUUGUCACAAAGAACAUUGUUUUUCCUCGCAUAAAACUUACUUAAAAAUAUAUGAAAAUGACCAAAAAAAAUUAACGGUAGUUAACUAUAUCUCGAUUUUCUCUUUUAAAAUGAGUUGUAGUUAACUACCGAUAGAGUUCUUGAUCAUUUUCACGUGUUAUUAAACAACUUCUUAUAUAGAAAAAGCAAUUUUCUGUCGGAAAAUAUAAAAUUUGCAUACCAAACCACUACAAAAUAAAUCACCAUUUUUUAAAAAGAAAAUAAAUCCCCAUUAUUUAGUCAAAAAAUAAAUAAGUCCCCAAUAUUAUUAUUAUUUGCUCAGAACCCUGGAACGUGUGCACAACUCUAGCUUAAUUUUUUUAAUGGUUAAAACGCAUUUCAUGUUGGUGUCAGGAUUUUAGUCAAAAAAUAUGUUUGAUGUCAGAAUUAAAAAUAAUUUACCACAUCAGGGAGCUGACAAAUCCACCAAAACUAUGGUGCGAUUCACCUCAAAGUCAUAAAAGAUAAUACUUAAUCAACAAGUAAUUAGUUUUUUUUUUUUUGACAAAGGGAACAAGUACUUAGUUGUUUCCUGGAAAAAUAGUCAUUUUGAUUUCAACCGUGUGAGUCAUUGUUGCUUAUAGUUCCUAAAGUUAACAUUUCCAAUCACUUACUUUUUUUGUUAUUUAGCUGCCAUAAAAUAUUAACUUUUGCUAAUUAUUUUAAUCUUUAAAUGUGUUUAUCAUUUAUUAAUUUAGACUCUAAAAUUACAAAGAUAAUUCCACAGUAACGAAAUAAAGAAGUCAGACACUCUAGAAUUUGAGUGUAGAUUUUGAUUUUUUUUUUAAACGACUAAAAUUUUAUUCAAUAUCCCCCACUUCUAUCACAAGAAGCAAGAUGCUCUCUCGAUCUAAUUAAUUUAUUAAAAUACACUUAUUAAUCACGGUUAAUAUAAUAAUUAAGCUAAAGACAAAUAAAAUGAGACAGAUGGAGUACGUUACAAUCUCUAUAUAGGAGAUAAAAGUUAACAAAAAUAUGUAUUUAGAUUGCCGGUGAAUUUAUGAAAAUAACAAUGUUGCCUAAAUUUUAUAGAAACUAGAAAGUGUAAUUUUAUGAGAAUGGUGUAACUCAUUAUAACAACAAAUCUAAACAUACAUGAAAAGGAUUGCUUAGUCAUAAAACAUCUAUGUAUUUAGUAGAAAAGUUGGUCAGAGUAUCCAAAGAUGCUUACUCAAACUGUGUGUCGGAACAUGAAAUGCCAAGCAAAGUGCACCCCCGACAACAACAGCACAUCAAAAAAGAUAGUACUAAAACAAAUAUCACUUGCACAGAAAAACCCUACACUCUAGCUUCAAACUUGUUUAUAUCAACCAAGGCAUUAAUAUCCUCGAGAACUCAGAUCAUGUUUCCAUGUUUUUCUAUAUUAUAUUACCAUAGAACCAUAAAAGAUUCUCUCGUACAACUCAAGAUGUCAAAACAAGAAAAUAAAUCAACACAAGUUUAAUUAAUAAUAUGGUCACUAUGAAGAAAAAAACAACAUUGACCUGUAUUUUCGGAAGCAUGGAUACGAACACAGACACUAGACACAACAUAGACGCCGACACGCUAACACCGUUAAUAAUUUGAGAAAAUUACAUAAUUCAGUAUAAUUAUAUAUGUUGGUGUCAGACACGACACUUGUCCAACACUGAGACACGCCUAAUCUAAAAGUGUAUGUGCCCUAUAUUCAACUCAUUAUAAGUAGUUCAUAACUAUAAUUAUAAUUAUAAUAAGUAAUUCAUAACUAUAAUUAAAAUAAGUAAUUGAAAGAUAAAUAAAAAUAAUAAAUACAAGAAAGUAAUCAAUAUUGAAAACCAUGUAAAGAAGAAGGUAUCUGCAAAAACCUUUGGAUCAAGAUUUUCUUGCUCGUUCAGAUUUGCAUCUUGUUAGCACUAGAGGAAAUGCUAUAGAUUCUCCUUCUUCUGUUUCUUCCUUUCUCUUCAUUUCACAAACCUUUUCAGACUCAGUUAUUCUUUCUCUCGCUGAAUCUUCAAGUUCUUUGAAAAAUCUCAACUUUGAAACUGAAACAGACUCACUCUGUUUCUCCUCAGAGGGUUGCUCUGUUUCUUCAUUCCUUAAAGGAGAACCCCAAAACCUACUUGCUAGUGAAGAUGAACUAUAUGGUGCUGAUUUGCAUCUAGUUAGUAACAAAGCAUUUUUUGGUGGAGUAGAACAAAAAGUGGAAGAAUCAUUAGAAUCAGAAACUAAAACUUUAGCUUUAAAUACUCUGUUAUUUUCUUCUUCUUCUUCUUCUUCUUCUUCUUCUAUAUAUGAUUCUUUUGAACCAUUUUUCAUUGAAGCUUCUGAAACUUUUGAAGCUUUACUUUUUCUUCGAAAUCCAAAGCAGCAAACUGAAUCCUUCCUAACAAAAUGGCAACAAAAGAGAGUAUGUGGGACCCACCAAAAAGGGCAGCGGCAUUUACUCGGAGCUCCGUCACCGGAGGAGGGACGACCCUUUUUAGUGGUGGGUUGUUUGGAGGAGCGUUUAACUCGAACUUGACCCAUGCAAGUGACUUUAGGGGAAGAAGGUUCUUUGGUUUCAAUGGAAGUAGUGUUCUUUUUCCUUAGGAUUAAGAACAUAGAGUUAGACUUUGAUCUUGUUCUUCCUCUGCUUUUGUUUGCUGCAUUUGAUUUUAAGAAUCUCAUCAAUGGUGGUGGAAACUUUUCCAUUCUACCUGGACUAGAAAUGGGUUUUGCAGAUAGCUUCAUGAUGCCUUUGUUUGUUUGUAGGGUAACCGUUGGUGGAGAAAGGAAAGAGAAGAUAUAAUACUAUCUCCUCUCUCUUCUAUAUCUAUAUAUCUCCACUUUUUGUGAAAUUUGGUGCACUUCAUUUUUUUUUUUUUUUUGUUGUGGCCAUGCUUUAGUGGGAAGCGCGGACUCUUCUCAAAUUAAAUGUGUCUUUGUGUAGGAUAAGAUAUGUGUUUAACAUCGAUAUGAUAUCAAUAUAUAUAAUUACACUUAAUUAUAUUAUUUUCUUAAAUUAUAAUGGUGUCAUAUCUAGUGUAUUUAUCUUGUAUCUGUAUCCGUGCUUCAUAGCAUUCUAGAUAUAAUCGAGCAAAUUGUCUUUUUUGUUUAAGAAAAAUAAGUAUUUUUUCUUUUCAGUUAUUUUGUUUGCAUGUAUAGUUUGUUUUCAUCUUUCAUUUUUCUUUGCAUAGUACGGAUGGAUGAGUGAAUCUGAUAUUAAGAUUUCUUUUCGAUGUGAGGUUCUCUUUGCCCUACCUCUUGAGGUAAUUGUUGUUUUAUUAUUUGUCUCGGAUAUAUGGUUGUAAAUUGUAAUAUUGUAGCUUAAUUGCACAAUAAAAUAUAUAGGGUAAAUUGUUUUGUAAGUAUAGUCUGGUUGUUUGUUUUAUAGACAUUGAUAGGUAAGAGUGAGUGUUUAAACCUCGAAUUUUCAAUUUCUUUAUAGUAUGUGAAUUUAGCCACUAGAUUAAUUGGAAGAAAAAAGUUAUACUCUUCUCCGUAAUAAAAAGAUUUUAUUAUUUAUCAUACAUGCAAACUUAAGUUACUUUCUCUCUUGUUACAAUAAAUAGGAGGCUUGUUCUACAAUUUGGAAAUUUCAUUUCCGUUCUGUAAAUUUACCUACUAAGUAACACAUUCCCCCACGUAGGAUAAACAUUUUAUUGGAUUUUGAUUGAACGAUGUAUGUGACUCAAUUUUAUCUAUAAUACCUUUUAUUUCAUUUUGGUUGUUACAUUUCUGCAUUUUUUAUACUUAAUGUUCUUGUUCUUGCAUUUUUACAAUGUUUGUCCAUUCCCACGUAUUUCUCGCACUACAAACAAAGACUUAAGACAGUAAACUUAUCAACUUAGAACCCCCAACCAUGAUCUAACUCGAGUCCUAGAUUAAUCAUCAAGUUCAUUUAUUGAAGAUAUUUUUUUCUUUCUUGUCAACCCUUUUAAAAUGCUUUAGUGUAUAUUUUACUUUCUUAAUCAUUAGCAUUCAUCUUAACAUAUGAGAAUAUAUUAUUGACCCUUUAUUUAGUGAGAAUGACAUCUUUAUAUAAGAAUACAUUAUUGACCCUUGAGAUUAAAAUGGACGGCUUAGAUUUAAAGUACCAAUUAAAACAUAACAUGGACCAUCACCUUCUUCUUUUCUUCUCCAACCCACAAUCCCAUCUGCAAAAUCGUUGGCAUGCGUGAAUAGAAACAAACAACAUCCUCUUCAAAACAACAAUUGCAUCAUUAUUUUUAAGGAGUAUCUAACCUUUAGUAUUUCUUUCUAGUGUCACAAAUUGGAUCUAAUUUUAAUUUUGAAUACAUUCUUAAUUAACCAAUUCACAAAAUAAAUUUGAUGUCCAGAUUAAAAUCUAAUAACCAAAAUUGUACCGGUGUCCAGAUUAAAAUGUAUUAAUUAAGUAUAAUAUAUUAUAGGGUGCUGCUAACCGGUGUUCCUAAGGCGCCGGUUAAGAAGUAAUAAAUGAACGAAUUCCACUUAUUUUACAAUAAUUAAAGUGAUAAAAAAAGUCAACUAAUUAAAAUAAAAUAAAAAUUGUAUUUGAUACUCUAUUAAAUUUCCUUUCUUUACACAACUAUACACAGUUCCUUUCCUUUUUUUUUUUGACAAAAAUAAACGAUAUUCAUUUAUUCAAAUUGAUAGAGUACAUCGAUACAAUACAAAUCCAAAUUCGCUAAAAACAAAAAGGAUGAAUCUGCGAACAAACUCACAACAUCCAUGUUAAUAGCAUAAAACGGAAAAGUACCUAUGCCUACAAAUAUGACUAUAUUUAUGUCUCUCGAAUACUCAUGUCUCCAUAUCUGCAACGUUGACGACACCAAAGUCAUUGUCAUUGAUCGGAUCUGCACUUGCUCAAAGCUAAUUUUUCAACCUGAAUCAAAUAAACACCGCACUAGGACGGGAAAUCAAAAACACACUGCACAAAGACGAGAAAUCAAAACAAACAGAGUCGUUCAAAUACGACGAAAUCACAAAAACAAACGAAAGAAAAUAUAAAAUAUGUGAAAUCACUUAUUCAAUUAUGAUAGAACGAAAAACAAUUCGGACGAGUGAUUUUUGGGUCAAAAUUGACCCUAAAUCACCCCUCUAAAAAGAAGAAGAAGAAGAAGAAGAAGAAAGGGGUGACGGCUAGGGUUUGAGAAGGAGAGAAGAGAGAGAGGGGAAGAAAGGGGUGUUGUAUAAUUAGGUGUUGAAUUAUCACAAAAAAUUCCUUUCUUUUUCAGUUUCCGAAAUUGAACCAUUACAUAUUUACAUCCAUAUAUCCUUUUCAUUUCUUAACAAAAAAAAUUUCCUGUGGAUUUUAUUUGAACCAAUAUUUUUUCCGUGAACUUUUUAUGAAUCAUUUUUUUUCUUUCAAACCAUUUCAUGGAAAGCCUAUGCAUAAUUAGUAAGAUAUCCAAUUAAAAUAAAGUCCAAAAUAAAUUAAUAAUUCCAAAGAUAAAACAUAACCAAUUAAAUAUCAAAUACAAAAUCAUCAAAUGCAUAGAAAUUACAAAAUCUUCUUCAAAAUAAAAUAGGAUUCCAUGCUUGUAUCACAAAAUAGGAAAUUUGUUAGAGUAUUGAAUGCAUAUUUUUCAUAUUUUAAUUAGUUGACUUAUUACUCACUUUAAUUAAAUGAGAUUCAUUCAUUUAUUGCUCUUUAACGAGUACCACAGAAGCACCGGAUAACAUUACCCUAUAUUAUAUAUUUAACUAUUAAAUGAGAAGAUUAUAAUCCAAACAUAUCUAUGGAGACAAGAGUAUAAUCUACUUGUUAUAUCUUUUUAUUCAGAAAAUUAAAGUAAACAUAUUUUUUAACAUAAAAGGAGAAUGAAGUACUCCCUCCGUUCCUUUUUAAGUGUCACUUUUGGAGAAAAAUUUUGUUCUUGUUUAACUGUCACUUUCAAAGUUCAAUGCAACAUUAAAUGUUGUUUUACCAAUAUUGUCUUUAGUUAUUUAUUGCGGAGAGAGAAAUAUAUCAAAUGAGAUAUUAAAUGAAUAAGGUCAUUAUAGUAAAAGUAUAAUUUAUUGCAUCAAAAGUAGUAUAAAUUGUUAAUUGUCUUAAUUUAUAUAAAAUGUCAAAAUGUGAUAAUUAAAAAGAAAUAGAAGAGGAAGUAUAGUUCAAGUCUUUUCUAAGUUAUGAAAGUGUAGGUUGCUCUGGAGUAUACUGCAUUUAUGAUCCAGAAUUGAGUAUGUACUCGGACAUACAACUACUUUUAUUAUCCCCAUUAAAUUUAGCCAGUUAUGUUUAAUUAAAUUGUUAUCUAUAUUGUGAAGCUAAUUUUCAACUCAAUAUUUAUCUCUAUGAGCUGUCUUGCAAAUGAUUCAUGGCUUGAACAAGAGAGGUGAGAGGACACGGUUUAUUUUUGAAUGGUUUGCCGAUCCGAUAGACAAUCUAUUAGAGUCUAUUCGGAAGUUUAAGAGGAGAUGGGAGAGCUUUAUACUCUCUCCCUAAAUACUAUUUUCACUAAAUAUAAACUCAUUUUUUAAUUAUUAGAUACAUUUAUUACUGUCAUUGUAAAUUUAACUUAGUUGGUAAAGACAAUGCAUAAUAUCUGCAAGGUCCGCUGUUCGAUUCCCAAAAACCACAAAAAAAAUGUAUUUGUUAUUUUUCCUAAAAAUACCCCUAAUUAAUACUAAAAACUUAUCUUGAAAUAUUAAAAAUCAAAUUUAAUACACAUACAAACAAAAACAAUUUAAUAAUAUUAACACACAAAAUAGACACAUUAAUUGCAUUAACAACUUUUUUUAAAAAUGUGAAAAAUACAAAGGAUGCUUAUAUACAGAGACAAACAAAGAGAAAAGAGUAAAUGAAAGAAAUGGAAGGUUGUGGAACUAAAUGUUUUAAACAAUUCUCAAGUAGAUAAAAGAUAUAAGGCUCCUUAUACAUGUUUCAUUUCGUUUUCAAGAAGAAGAAUAAUGACAUUGAAAGACGGUGGGUUUUUUUCCCCUUCAUAAACAGGGUGGUUGUUCAGUCACUCAAAUAUGUUUUCAAUAAAAAUAAUUGCGUGAUAUUAUUUUGAAGUGAUAUUUGUUUGCCCCCACUUUGCAUGUUCAUUUGUCUAAUUAAUUACGUAAAGUAUACUUAGGAUUGGGCUAGCUACCAGACGGAUUUGUGUGGUGGAGAAUCACAAAUCCUUUGCGCAAUGAAAGCUAAGCUUCCCAUUUAUCCCGCAUCACCAAUUUUGCUAAUAAAAAUGACCCACAUGAAACUCUUGAUUUUAUAAUAUGGUUCAAUAAAGUAGCCACACCUUCUAAUUACUUGAUGAAGCACUCCGCACUCAAAUUAGUGACGGUUGGAGCUACUAGAUACUAUGUGGGAAGGGGAUUACUUCCUAAUUCUUAUGGUUUAUGGAGGGACUUGGAUCCUGGAUCUUCUCAUAGAUUCACUCCUUUCAAACAAACAAAUUGAGAGGGGGGAGAUGAGACAAAUUAUAGGUGUGAUAAGGAGUGAUUAUAGGCUAGUUGCUACACGAAUUUGGGAGCUAAAAUCUUAAGUAACCUAGUGGGCAUUUCCUAUAAACAGGAAACUUAUUUAGUUAGAAUAUAGGACAUUAAUUAAACAUUUAUAUAUUAAAAUUAUAGUAGUGGACUCCUCUAUUUCUUUUAGAAAAUGGAGAGGAUCUCAACUCCUCAUAACCUCGGUAUAUUAGUCUCAUUCUUAUACUUCCAGAGCCAUGACAAUUCAUCACUUUAAAAUCUAAAAUUAAAGUAGGAUUCUUUGAUUUGUGAAGGAUGCCUUUCAUGAUCCAAAUUCAUUAACUACGUAGGGGGAUUUCCUCUGUACGGGAGAUAAUUGUUCUUACAUAUUGAGCCUAUAGGAUUUGUAUGAUAGUGCUAAGUUAAACUAUGAGCACUCAUUAUAUAUUCCCUAUGUGUUUGAAUUGUGAUUAUCAAUGUGCAAUUAACAUUUUCAUACUCUCUCCGUCCUUAUAUCUAAACACAUUUUUAUUAGAAGCAAAGAGUAUUUACAUAUAGAGAUGGAGGAGUAUAUCCUAGGGUUCAACGCUCUUCGUCAAAGUUGUCACAACGUGACGUCAAGAGAUAAGAACUCAAAGUCCUUAUAUUCUAAUUACAUUAUUAUCCAGACCAUGUAACAAGGGGAUUCAAGGUAUUUUUGUAAUUAGAAACUAGUAAAAGUUUAAACCGGUAUAUUUUCUUGCAAAUGAGGCUAUUUGCUUGAUAUAUUAAAUUAAAUAAAAUAAAAGAAAUUAGCCUCAUUUGCAAAUAGUCUCAUUUGCAAAUGAGGCUAAUUUCUUUUCACUACCAAACAUAGUGUCUUUUCACUAUCAAACAUGGUGUUGGGGUGUCUUGUGCGUUUAGAGACAUAGAUAAAGAAAAGGAGAAAAAAUGAUAAAUUUAAUUGAUAAUGCAAUUUACUAAAAAUUAGUAAGUAUUAAAUUAUUACUUCAAAAAAAAAGUAUAAAAUAAACUCUAAAUUACUAGGAUAUUUUCUCCUAUAAACCAAAGAUUAUUAAGUAUAAAAAAUAAUGAAUGCAAAUUUACAAACAAGUGAAACCCUAGUGGUAAUUGAUUUUAGAGUCACUCAAGGGAAUCCAAAUCACAUGUCUCAACACACAUAUUCUGCUAAUACUAAUUAAUUUUAGAGAAAUGCUAACGAGUGUCUCAAAGACACUCUUUAGAGAUUGUGAGAGCACCUACAUUCAUGUCAUCUAUAUUGGUGCAGGGAUACUAUUGAGAGUUUGGACACUGUUGAAGGUUUUUGUCAUAAAUAAACUCUCAAUAACAAAAGUCAGCAAUGGCGGGCUAAAGAGUGUCGCCGACUAUUGAGGGUCUUCAACCCACCAUUGCUGACUUUUGUUAUUGAGGGUCUUUAGCUCGCCAUUGCUGACUUUUGUUAUUGUUAUUGAGAGUUUAACCAUGACAUAUAUACAAGACACUAUGACAAAAACAUUUGAAAUUUGUGAGACCACUUUAUGUCAGUCGAUAUUCAUGCUUCAAGUAAUAAACUCUACGAAAAUGUAUUCAAUGUAUUAAAAUAUUUGACCUUUUUAAAGAAUUAUUUCUUAAUUUAUAAUCACUAAAGAGUGUUUUGGGGAUAUUUGUUAAGAAGACCUUUAGUUUUAUCUUGUUAUUCAAUUUUGAAGAACUCGGGGAAGCCUCUCUGCAAUUUAGUGAUCUCUCGGUUAUAUCCUAGUAACGAGUGCAUUGGUCCCAACCAAAAAAAAAGUCAACAAAAUGCUAAAUUGAACCACUCUUUUUUCUUGCUGACACUAACAAAUAGUUUGACCUUUGAACAUGAAUAGCUCCCAUCCCAAGUCAAUUAAGAAUUACGUGAUUCAAGUUCGGUUCGUCCAAACAAAGUACCAGACGACGACAAGAAUAUGAAUAGCAAAUACUAUUACAUUACAUUUUAUAAAUGAAAUUUGCAUUUCAUACUUCAUGCCACGUUAAUUCUAUAGGUACUGUUAAAAUUAUGAAUAUGAGACAACUCCACUUCAAAGGAGAAAAAAUAUUGAAUAUAACACAACUUAUACGCCACAUAAAAUUACAUGCUGUCAAUAUCCGAGCACGAGACCUUUGUUCCAUCAUCUGUUUCUGUUCCAUGACAGCCUUCGUGAUCUGAAGCAUCAAUAAAAAAAUAGAGACCAACUAUGAGAUGGGGUUCAAAACUCCAAAAAAUAAUAAUAAUAAAUAAAAGGACAAGAAAAACGUUUUUAAAAUAAAAAGACCAAAAUUUCAUUUAUUUAUAUUUUAAAAUAGAGAGACCAAAAGUGAAUUUAAUCUUUUUGUUUUUUAUUUUUAGUUGAACUAAUAAAUAUUAAAAAUAAUUUAAUAUUAUAUUUUUCAUAAUAUUCUUUCUACAAUUUUUGAAAACAUAUAUUUUUAAAAAUGCAUUCUUCUUAUCUUGUCUUUCAACUUCUCUAUCACAAUUGUUCACUACAUAGUUCCUUCAUCUCUUAUUAGAAAUUUAAAAAUGAAGUGGAGGUGGAUAUUUGCAUGUCAUUUGUGAGCCAUGGCGUUAGGGUAUAAGCCCCCAAAUAAUAAUCAAAUAAAGGUUCAUCAACAAAAGGUUUAAGAAAAAAUCUUGUCAAAAAUGAUACGCAGAUUUUUUUAAUAUUACUCUUCUCUCACUUCUCAAAUUACUCAAAAACAUACUUUUGGCGGUAGUUAUCUUCAACUCUCGUUGGUCACUUUUUAGAGCGUAGGUUUAACCGAUCUUAAAAGUGUCCAACGACACUUUAUUAUCACUGAAAAACUGAACGAACGAUAGUUAACGACAUUUGAAAAAAGAGCAAUUUGAUACAUGAGAAAUAUUUUCUAUUUUUUUCCUAUGUUCAGUUCAAAUCCAAACCAAUGAAAUCUAAUCUCGAUUAGUUUGGAUAUCUAAUUGAAAAACAAAUUACCCGAUUUUCAAACCAAACUACUAUGUUUUUAUUUAAUAUUUCUUAACACUACACUACUUUUUAAUCACGUUACACACCCUCGCUCUCCAUAUCUUUUAGGUCGCAACUGGUAACUUUUUCUUUUCAGUACUAAAUAACAAAGUAAGAAAAAACUUGAACUGAACUACAAAAAAUUAACCUACUAAAAAUUACACUUUCAGUCCAUCACAAGACCAAUGAAAAGAGUAUAACCACAAGCAGCAGAUUUUUUUUAUCAAACCUCUCAAUCCCAAAUACAGAUUCUAUUGACCUUUGAUGAAGAAUGUUCAGCCAUGUUUGUCACUAAAAUUGCUGCAUAUGACAUGGAGUUGAGGCAAGGGAAUGCAUUACACGAACAAAAACGAUUGGCAUCUCAGCUAUUCUCGCCCCUACUACUCAUCAAGCCCAUAGUCCUCACCAAAAUACUUGUCAACUAGACUAUUUGCCAUAGUUCUGACGUCUUCAUUUUCGUGAAACUGAAAUCUUUCCAUGGCUUCAAUCCCAUCUUCUUGUUCUACAAGCUUUGGGCCCUUUCCAUUUGGCAUCCCUCUCAAGACCUACAGACACAAUAGAUCAUAAACAACACGGGGUUUAGAUCUCAAAGAGUGUGGUAUAAUUUGUCAUGUUCAAUCAUCGAUUACACAAACAAAUGAACUGAUCUAGCCAUAAUCUACCAAGUAGUUAUUUAUACAUUCAUGAAAAUCGCUUACCAGCUCUAUAAACUGAAGCCCUAGCUUGGCAGCUUCGAUAUCAGCAGAUCUAACCAAAUCAAUAAAACCUGGCAAGCAUCCUUUUUCAACAAGUGAAACCAAAUGCUCCAGGAUAAGAUUUGGUAUCUCGUCACCUUUAGUUGGGGCAACACAAAUGUUGCCUAAUAUGUAAGCAACUUCCUUUCUUAUAUCAAAUGGGGCGGCAGAAAAAAGGUGCAAUAGCAAAGGCAGUGUCUCACUAGAAUAUAUCAAUUGCUUGUGCUCAAUAGAACCAGCAGCUAUAUUAGAUAGCACCCAUGCUGCUUCCUGCAUAAGAUAAAAAAGCUCUCAUCAAGCUUGAUCCAAAUUAUUGAAUCAAAUAUUAAAUUUUAUACCUUCUUUAAGACCCUGUGUUCACUAUUUAGACAUUUUAUCAGAGCUUGCAUGGCAGUAUCUGAAAUCGUCAUUAAAUAAUCAGAUAAAGAAAUUGAUCCAUACUUUUGAUUAAAACGCGGGUAUUUAUCUUAGCAAAUAUCGAAAAAAUCACUAGCCUGUAACUUCAAGUCCAGGUACAAGAACAGCAUAAGUUGCAUGGGAAUCACCAGCAACGAGAUUACCUAAACUUCGCAAAACCUACAGGGAUUUCCCAUUGUUAUUAGAAACAAAAAAUCAGUGUGAAUAAUUGUGGUUCAUGUGCAGUGGUGUAUGCUAGUAAUCACAAGAAGGUUCACAAGAUUCUUACCGGAAUCAUUAAUUGCAAACUGUUUGAUGUUGCUAAUCUAUUUACAAGCAAUUGAAGUACGUCACUCUUCACCAGCACGGAGGUAGCUAAAUUUGAAAGUGCUGAAAGAUAAACAACUACCCAUGCUACUUCAGUAGCUGAUUCAUCGUCCCUGAGGUGAUAAAAUAAAAUUAAUAUAACAAUAAUCAGGGUAGCCUUUCAGGGAUAUUAUGUCAACUGGUAACAGCUGGAUAAAUCGGUAAUAUUUCCGAGAAAUAAUAUUUCCACGUAGUCAUAAUUUUACAAGAGGAUUUGCACUACCAUCACUUCUGAUUUUAAGCUCAGAAACCUAUAGGAAAGUGAACUUUAUGAUUAUAGUGGUUACAUUUACAGCCACAAAAAUUUCAUGUACUUCAUCCAAAUUAAGUUAAUAAAUCAUUUAGAAAUUUGGCCAAAAUAAAUAAGAAAUAGUUUAAUGGAGGAAAAGAACUUCCUCUUUGAUAAUAAAACUUUUGUGACGUCCCACCAUUUUGCAUUUGGAUGGUGUCAUUUCCACCCAAACGCUGAAUGGAAGCAUUUCCCUUUAGAGCCUUAAUAGCUCUAUGUAUCUUAUAUUCGGGUAUUCUAUUGGCCUCAAAGUACAACUCUCAUUGAUCAGCAACCAAUAAGCCUUCUCUUCGCCAAACUUUGGAAUCGUCUUCAAGAUGCAAUACCACAAUCCAACAUCCAGCUCUAACACUAGUUGAUAAUUGCUAGUCAAAUAUCAGAAGAAUAAAAAAAAAAGAUUUGAUUUUAUUGAUGAAACCUACCUAAACCCUAUAUCAGUGAUGAAUAAAAGUUAGGAAGGACAAACACAGGCUAUUGAUAUUCCUCUCAGGAUUAGAACUCCAAUUAUAGAGCCUGAGACCUCCCACCAAAACAAAUCCCAACUAUCCAGACUCCUAAUCUUCUCCCACUCACUCUUUAUAGCCUACUUCUGCCAAAUCUAUUAGAACUCCAAUCAACAACCACAAACUAGACUAACUUCUUCAACCAACAAAACCCAGCCAAACCUGUUUGGGCUUUCCUAACAAUUUAUCUAAAUAAAAUAUAAAAUAUACUUUAUAAAUUGACAUGUUUGAAAAUUUCAUCUUUCUGAUGAUGUGCAUUGGGCCAAAAACGGAACAGAAUAGUUUAAAUACAUGAAAUAUAUUAACUGUAGUUGCAAUUUAAACAAUAAAAGUCAAGAGUAGAAGGUAUGAGUCACCCAUGCACAAUAAAGCAAUAUAAUGAUAUUAAGCAUGCAUGUUAUAAAGUAACUGCGAGUCUAAACAACAGUGAAACAUGCUGGCUAGGAUAUAACAUAGGUAAGUCCGGGGAAAUACUCACGCUUUCGUUAAGUGUCGAACAAUUGCAUCCAAUACUCCAUCAACACGUAUAAGUUCGUUAGCAGCUUUAGGAUUUGGACCCUAUAUGCAAACAUACUGAAAUCAUAUAAAAACAUAUGUAUGUGGAAUAUUCCAUCUUCCACAAAAACCAUAAUGCACAAGAGACCACAAAAGCUGAUGACUACAAAACACUUCUAAAAAUCUACGGACCAUGCAGUAAAGGCAAAGAAGAUACGAACUCAGCUAUAUAGAAUAAGAGUGAUCAUUAAGGAAUUGAUACAAAUCAAUCUCUCAGACAUAUUGUAUGUAAUAUUCAUUUGAUGGAUUUGAAACCUUGAUUAGAUUAGACAAAGCCCAGGCCGCUGUUCUAACAGUUGAACGUCUGUAUGGUAGCAUCAUUCUUGCAAGAGGUACUAAGGCCCCUUGAAUUAGAAGAACAUUCCUCAACUCUUCAUCUUCACCGGCCACAUUUCCUAGUGCCCAAGCACACUGCUCAGCAACAGGUGAGGAGCUCUUUUCUGCAGAACAGGACUACUUAUGAAUUUUGAAGGUAAAUCAUUAAAUAGUUUUAACCUUGAAGAACUUCAUUAUAAUGUUGGAUAUAGUUGCAAAAUUAAUGAAGGUGGACAUUUUAGAAAAAGAAUAAGAUGCAAGUAGGUCUAAGUUCCCUCCAUCCCAUUCUUUCCUUAGAUUGUAGAUAUCUUACAAUGCUUUAACAGUUAAGGCUAUAAGAGUUCCUCUAAAUCUUUAUAUCUAUAGAAAUAUAGGUCAAAAAGGAAUCUCAAAGUGAUCACUCACCCCCAAGGUGAGCAAUAAGCAAAGGCAAUGCAGGAAGCAAAGCUUUUGUUUCCUCUGGAUUCCCUGCAGCAAUAUUUGUAAGACACCAAGCAGCUUCAAGCAACUGCAGGAUACAUUCGCAAUAACAAAAAUGAAAAUAGUAAGAAAUUUUCUUGCCAUUAAUGAUUCCAUAUGCUCUGCAUAACAUGUAUAGAAGAUAUAUGCGUUUAGACCUGUUCAUCUGGAGAACCAAAUGAAAGACACUGCACUAGUAUGGCAACUGCUCCAGCUUUAACAGCAGACUCAACAGGAGGAAAUUCAGAUCUUGACAGUAAACGCCUUAAUUCUUGAAGGGCGCCUACUCUUUUCUGCACUGCACCCUUCCCCCUAUCAAUUAAAAAAUAUAUAGAGUAACACUUCUGUCAAAGUUAAAGAAUAUGUGAAUUUGCAAUUGACAUAAUUGAAGAUUUUCUCAGUCUGUGGAGAAAAUAUGGCCAACACAUUAUCAAAGAGAUAAGAGAAAACACUAUUCUAAGAUGAUCUAAAAAGAAACAACACAACAUCAAUCUUAGUGCCUAAUUGGGCAAUCCUGCAUGCAUAUGAAAUUAUCACAUUGUUAAAAACUUCCCCCUCUAAACCAGAAAGAUUCAGAACACUUGGUGACUUAUUUUUCCUCAGACCAACACAACUAUUUGCUUAUCAUGUGUCAAAUAUGGUUUUAAAAUAAAAAUUGACAUGAACUGUAUAACUUAAAUUAAACAACUCUUCCCGUGAUUGAAUAGCUUUACCUUCAUUGGCCAGCACUAGUCUUCUAAUCCUUGUUCAUCGUAAACAGGAGCAGAUGCUGGGCUACUACAUUGGGGGCUCAAGAGACCCCCCCUCCCCCACAAGAAAACAAUUGUUUUCUAUAAUAAUACUAUUAUAUAUAUUUUUCAGCCCCAUCAAACAAACUACACACACUAACUUAUACUUACACACUCAUCACAAGUUCACAUCCCACAGUUCAGUUUUGACUUUAACUAUUGGUGGUUGAAUCCUUUGUUAUGUGUUCAGUUACUUGAGCAUACGCACAUAAAUAUUUUUCUAUUCAUGUAAAUCUUUUGGUUUUCCUUCAUAAUUAUUAUGUGUGUAGGUUCACCCACCCUUCAAUCAAAUUCUUCACACACUCUCUUAACUUUACCCCCCAUUCUCUUCUUAAUUUUUACACGGGCCUCUCCUCCGAACAUCAACAUAAACUGUUCUUUUUCUCUUCUUCUUGCUAUUACUUCCCCUACAGUAUUUUUUUAUUUUUUUUUUAAGAUUCCCCUACAGUAUUAAAAGUUUAGAUUUUUACUUUAACAUCAACUAAAUUUUAUCGACCGGAGCAUUCCCUCACAAUCAAUAUUUUAAGGUUAGAUUUUUUACUUAAAUCAAAUUUAUUGUUGUCUUCUAUUUCUCUUCAACAAUUGCAAAAUUUUAGGAAUCAUUUUUUUGCUUGGUGUUUUUUUAUUCAAAAAAAAAAAGGGUGUAGAUAUUCAAUUAGUUUUGUUAGAAAAAUAAAUCAAGCAUCAUCUAGAAAAAUAUUUUGAUUUGUUAUAAUAUUUUCUAGCCCCCGCCAAAGAAAAUUUAUGGAUCCGCCACUAGUCUUAAACUAAUUUUUUUUACUGGAAAUCUGUUUUACCCACAAACAACUAGUCUAGAGUGGCCAUGAAGUCACGAUUGCAGUAGCAUGUUGCAUAUAGACCGCCAGCAUUUAUGUUAAUAGCCUAAACCCCCAGCAAGUUCAACAGGAAAACACGGAGGUUCAAUAUAGGAUAUUAUCAGUUAAAACCAUGAAAGAUCUUGUUUGGGUACUCCAAUACAAUAACGACAUGGAAAGCAACAGCAAGUAAUUUCAAGAGUUUUGUAGUUCAACUUCUAGGUUUUGUGAAAGUGAAAGAAUCUAGAAGGGUAAAAGAAUAUGCCUGCGAUUUUAUUAGAAUGGGAAAACUAAUUCAGAUGAACACUGCACUAGUACUUAUAUAAUAGCGAGAAAGCUAUUCACGUCAAGAGUUAGUUAAACCUGUUCACUGAUUCAAAUACAUGAGAGGCUAAAUAGCAGAAACACAAACUAUGAACCAAUUUGGAUCGGCCUCUAGCUUUUGGAAUCUUUAUCUACCAAAAAAAUCCUUAUAAGCUCAUAUAUGUUUAUUGAGAAAUUAAAUGAAAAAAACCUAUAAAAACAAAUGAGAUACAUAAACUAGUUUCAACUUAUACGAGAAACUGUUAUUAAAAGACACAUAGGGCCUCUUAGGAUUGACUGAUUUCAGUUUAUCUACCGGUAUUAACACUUCAGAUACUGUUUUAGAGAACUUACGGAAACAGCUUAUGACAUGUCCAUAAGUUGUUUUCAGCUUAUUUUCAUAAGCUUUCCAAGAUAGCUUAUAUGAAAACAACUUAUAGCUUAUAUGAAAACCACUUGCAUUUAUUUUAUCUUUUGAUAUAGAAAUAGUUUAUAACGUAUCCGUAAGUCCAAGCUCAACUGGCAAAUGCCGAAAUUGUUAGGCUGGAUAUUCUUGGUGUCCAAGAUUCGAACGUGGGAUAUCCCAUAUGUGUGCGAGUUUCAAGUCGUAUUUACCGCUCCAUCUAGUCUACAGGGCGUAAGAAAUAGCUUAUAUCUUACACAAAAGUUGUUUAUCCAAACAGGGUCGUCGUAAAUGCAAUAUUCUUUUAAUAUUUAUUUUUUAAUUGUUUCUUGAGAAUUUUAUCAAAACCAACCCUAUCACCAGCAAUUAUAAGAUACAAGGAAACUAAUUUCCAACUUGCAAAUCAUAAUUCAAAACUUCAUUUUUAUACUUCCAAAAAAUUCACCAUUCCAAGAUGAAGCCAAUCUAAACCUAGGGCCCAUUUGGAUUGGCUUAUUUUUUAGUUUAUGCAGAACAGCUUAUGCAAAUAAAUAUAAGGUUUUAUGUAUUAUUCAUAAGUUUGUCAAGGUAGUUUAUGAACAAACAGCUUAUGAAGAUACAAUUUUUAUUAGUGAGAAAUUCUGAAUUAACAUAAAAGCUUAUUUAUUUGCAUAAGCUAUUUUUCAUAAGCUCAAAAACAAGUCAAUCCAAACGGCCCCUUGUUAUCAUAAACUGAAACAGACCAUAGAAGAAAAAAAAUAAAGUUAAAAAACCAAUUCUUAAUCAUGUAAAAGCUAGAAACUUGGAACAGAGUAGCUUACUGAUAAGCAAGAGCAGAUUUCAAAUUUUCAACAGCCAAAGAAGUUUGAGACUCCAAAAUAGAUUGUUCUUCGUCUAUCAUCAUUUCACCUUCAACAUCAACAUCAACUUCAGCAUCACUAACUCCAACUCUACAAAGUCGUUUGGCACGAACCAACGAUUCCCUCCUUUCUUUCCCAACUGUAACUGCAAGUUGGCGUCUUCUUGUACCCGCAGCAUUCACAACUGAAAACAAACACGCGGUUGAAUCCAUUAGCAUCGGAAAGCACAAACCUAAACCUAUCUAGGUUCUGUCAAAUUGAAUUUGAUUACUGUGAAAUGAAUGAAAAUUCAGUUGUUAUAAUGUUGAAUAAGAGUGUACCUGAUGAUUUGAUAGGGUCCCUUUUGUUCGUAGCGAAACCAGGAUCGGCCAUUGAAGAUGAAGGUGAAACGAAUGCAAAAGUGUUUGGAGUCGCUGAAAAAGGUUUUAGCGGUGGUUCUUCUUUUUAUAACGGUACAUGAUAAUGGGAUCCACGGCGGUAAUAAGCUCCACAUUAUUGGGCACUUGUAAAAAGGGAAAAUGCUGAGAAAUGUAAUUAAUCCACUUGUUAUAAAAAUUAAAAUAGAAAUAUCUUCUUGAAAAAUAGAGAGUGUGUACUUCAAAGACAUUCGUAAAAAAUAAUAAUAUAUCUAAAAAGAAACUAAAUAGUGUUUUUAAAAGUAAAGCACUCUUGGCUUUUAGUUUUAAAAAUUUGUUUUAUAAACCAAUUUUAGAGAAACUAUUUUUAAGAAGAGAAUAAAAUAAAACUAUUUGGUGGUAAUGUAAUAUUUUAAAAAUUGUUUUAGAAAUGAAAAAAUGAGAAUAAUUGUUUGAUAAUCUAAUUCUUGAAAAUUGUUUUAGAGAUGAGAGAUUUUAUUUGAUUAGAAAUUUUUUUUAAACUAAUUUAUUUUAUAUUGUUGUAUAAUAAAAAGUAAUAGAAAUUCAUAAUGUAUUUUUUAGAAAUAUGAAAUUCUCCUUAUAUCUAUUUACCGGUAAAUAAUAUAUUCAGCCAACAAAUAAAGUAAAGUAAUAUUAAUAUGUUUGUGAAAAAAAGGUAAAGUAAUAAUAAUAUGCUUUAAAAAAAUUAUAACGUGUCCUUUGUUGUUCUAUCAUGUGUUAUGUUGCUAUCAUGUAAUGUAUAAUAUAGUAUUUAUUUUUAACGGAUCAAACGAACUCAUACAUUUUUUAACCCUUUAGUUUUUUAGGAUAGGAGAUGAGGGACCUUGGUAAUGUAAGAUUCAAUUAGAAGUAAGUAAAAUUUGAAUGAUAAGGAUUAUUUCAAUUAUGAUUCAAACUUGAGUUAUUUCGAGUGAUCCUUAACUGAAGUUAGUUAAUCACUUGAACAAAUUUGCAAAGAUCUUUAUAUUAUGACCUCUAAUGAUGAUAUUUGUGUUAAAUCAUCACAAACCCUAAACCCAAAAUUGUGAAGAUUUUGUGUUAAAUUUGUGAUUGUAACAUCCACACUUGAAACAAAUUUGAUGAAGAUCUUUAUAUUCAAUGAGUAUAUUAUGACCUCUAACGAUGAGAGAUUAAGGGAAUGCUUAGAUUUAUCUCUACAUAGAUUCUCACAAAUUUUCCCUUCAAAUUCAAUGGGUAGAUUAUGACUUCUAAUUUUUUUUUUUUAAAAAGGCAUGCCUAAAUCUAUCUCAAUAUAUAUUCUUGUAAACUUGUUCUUAAGUGGAUAUUCACUUUGAGCAUCGCUCCUACUUGAGUACCAAUUUGCCAAAGAAAUCAAUCAAACUGACACUUUGCUCGACAUCUUAUUUUCAUUGAGAAAGAAUUAUUUCCAAUGGUGCACCAAAAGAUAAUGAUCCACAAUGAAAUGUAUGAUUACAGUCCUCAGUAUAGGAAAAAUAAACGAGGUUGAAACCUUCCUCCAUGUCCACGAUUUAGAUAGACCCUUUCAUACCCAUUUGUAUUGAAGUAUAUGUUCCAAAUGUUUGAAACUUACCUUCUUACCCAUAACCCUAGGAAAAAAAGAUUUCUACACGACUUAGGUCAGUCACACUAUUCAUCAUCUUGAAAAGAGACUUCAAGUUAAAUUCCAACGAUCUGAGUAUUAACUUUUUCCAUUCCAGUAUCGCAAUAAUCAAUGAUCAACCAACUUUCCAUAAUUUCAUUAUCAAGCUUUUCAUGGAUCACCUCUCAAAUCAGAUCUGACAACUUUUAUUUUUAGGAUUAUAUAGUUGCCUCUGCUCAUGCAUAAAAUCUCCUUAUCUGUGAUAAUCUCAUCAUCCACGUCCCACAAAUGAACCUUCUUCUUACUAUAAUAUAACAUGUCUUCCUCCUCUCUAUUAUGGCCACACCCUCUUUGUGCAUUUAGAAAAUCCAUGCACACAUGAGUGCUAUAUCAAAUUUACUUUUUCAUUAUUAAUGUGCGAUUAUUAAUGAGUGAGUAUGUGAGACACACAACGUCAGUUUCCUCCUUCUAGCUAAAUUUUCUCCAAAAGCAAGAGUCGGAUAGAUCGAAUCUUAACCACUUAUUUAAAAUCGAAGUUUGUUAACACUUUGAUUAAUCUAUUGUUAAUUUGAUUUUUAGUUUAAUCUCUAAAGCGGCACCACAUAUGUAUUUUUUUUAGAAGAGCUCCACAUAUGUUGGUUUGAUUCAUUUUAUUUGUUUAAGGUAUUUUUUUAGAGGUGUUUUGAAUGGAUAUGUUUGUUUGGUUUUAAUCAUCAAAAAUUCAUUUCCUCAAAACAAAAAUCAUCAAUAUAUCACUAUUCAACUAUCAUUUUCAAAAACAUAAAAAUCAUCAAAACAUCAGUAUCAUCAUCAUCUUCAUCUCAAAUCACCUGAGCUCAGAUCUCAAUUCUCAAACCUCCACAAUGUCAACAAUCCCCACAAUCCCAUCACCCCUAAAAGCCGUAACACUAACCCACGUCCGUUACGAAAGAGGCGAUCCCUUAGGCCAUUUCCUCGCCUGGAUCUCCCUCAUCCCAGUCUUCAUCUCCUUCGGCGGUUUCUUCUCCCACUUCAUCUUCCGCCGUGAAAUUCAAACAAUCUUCUUCUUCUUAGGUCUCAUCGUUUCACAGUUCAUCAACGAAAUCAUCAAAACCUCCGUUCAACAAGCUCGCCCCGAAACAUGCGUGCGUCUUGAAAUGUGCGAUUCACACGGUUGGCCUUCAAGUCAUUGCCAAUAUAUGUUCUUUUUUGCUACUUAUUUGACCCUUUUGUACGCUAAAGGAAAUGGGUUGUUUAAAAAUGUGAUUUUUAAUCUGUUUAUCUGGUCUUUGGCGAUUUUAACCGUGUAUUCUAGGGUUUAUUUGGGUUAUCAUAGUGUUGCUCAGGUUUUUGCUGGUACUAGUUUGGGGAUUUUUAUUGGGGGGGUUUGGUUUUGGGUUGUGAAUACUGUUUUUUCGCCUUUUUUUCCUGCUAUUGAAGAAAGUGCUUUUGGAAGGUGGUUUUAUGUUAAGGAUACUUCUCAUAUUUCUAAUGUGUUGAAGUUUGAGUAUGAUCAAGCUAGAGCUGCUAGAAAGAAGAUGGUCUCGGAUUCGAAGUCUGAUUAAUUAACGGGUACGUUGCUUAUUGUCUUCAAUUUUGUGUAUUGUUGUUGUUGUGAUGCAAGUUAUUAGGAUUUGGAAUUAUGUAACUUUGGAAUUGAAUAUUGUGUGACAUGAAAGUCAUUGGAAAUUAUUGUUUGUAGUUUUUGCUCUGUUUUUAGAGGUGUAUUUAUUGAAUGGUGUUAAUUUGGAAAAACUAGAGAUUAGUGAGUUGGAUAGAUUAUGGUAUGUGGUAGAACUUUAUGGCAUAAUUUGAAACAUGUAGCUAACCCUACUUAGUGGGAUAAAACUUGGUUGUUGUUGUUACAUUGUUAUGAUUCUAGAAAAAGAUGACUCAAUUAGUUAUAGAAGGAUCUAUGACUUAGCAUUUGAAUCAAUCAGGCUUCCAGAAGGUUGUGAGGUGGCAAGAAAUACCAGCUAUUGUUAGUUCAAUGUCAAAUUGUUCCUUUCCGAGUGAUCAUGUAAAACAAUGUUUAAGUUAUAGCCUACACUGAAAUAUAUAUUCAAUUCUUGAGUGUAAAGAACAUGUGCAGUGUGUUUACCCUUGUGCUAAUAAAGAUAGAUUGGUUGAUCCAAAAAUAAAAUAACAAUAAAGAUAGAUUGAUUUUUGAUAUCAUAUUUUGAGUUUAAGUCCAUUUCAUUUCCACUCUAUUGUGUUCUAUGUAAAAUGCUUUUAAUUAUUUUAAUUUAGGAAAAUAUAAGAUGGUUGAUUUAGGGCGAUGUUGAGCAUGAUUUUCCUCUCCCUGACCCUACAGAAAAGUAAAUGUUAAUCUACUCCUGAAGAGUAUAUCUAUAUAUCUUGAUUCUUCUGUUGACUCAUUUUUUUAGUAGGCUUUUUUGAAGCUCAAGUUUUGUCCCAUAUAAUUAGUCACAUGAUACUGAAAUACCUCUCAGAUAUUCGGUGUAUACAUGACUUCAAUUUUGGAAUUCAAAAGAACAAUAUUAAUUCUGUAUUAAUACAAGUUGAUAUCUUUUGAAAUUAAAAAAAUCUCUUGAAUCAAGAAUGAAAAUAGUAACUUGAAAAUUAAACAUUUUAGCUCCCGACAACUCCGUAUUUCAUUUUCUUUUGAAUAAACCUAUUAGAGUAGAAGUGUUCAAUUGGUACAUAUUAUAAACUGUGAUAUCUGCAAUGAACAAUAUAUUUCUGAAAUUGAAAGUAUAAUUAAUUAGUGAGAUGUAUUCAUGAUCCUUUGUCCGUGUAGAGUGUUUAGUGAGGAAGAUGUUUCUUAGUUAGGAUGCGUAAAAUAUCUCUGGUGUCCUCCAUAAUUGUUUGGUGUAGACGAUGCAAUGCCUAUUGAAGCACUCGUAUGGGAGGAUCAAUUAGGAUGGCCUUGAUAAUUAUAUCAUGCAGCUAGAGGGAAGAGAAUUCACUGACUCAUAACUAACUAUUUGGCAUUAUCUGUGAGCUGGCAAGAGGGAAGAGAGAGAAAAUAGAUCUGGUGGUAUAAGAUAGGGAAUGAUCAGUAGAGUGAGGUCGACUGAAUUUGGUUAUUUCCGUUUGGGAGAUCCCCAGGCUUCUUGAACUGUCUGGCCUUUACAGUUACAUUUAUAUUUUAUUCUCUUUGUAGCUCAUACACUGUACCUCAUCAGAAUCACUUUGAUGUUGGUUGAUAUCGAUAUAACAGUGUUUUAUUACUAUUUUCUACCAAUAUUUUCUGCCAUUAUACUGAAUUGGUAUCUAUCAUCUUAACUAAUGUAACACUUAAGUUGUACUAACAACCAAAUAAUCUGUUGAGACAUAAACUCUUUGUUGUUUGGCAAAGAGCAAAAUAGUCUUCAUCACUAAAAUCCUCAGGUUGUAGUACUAAGCAAUCUGUUAAAACAAAAAUUCUCUACACUGUUUCUUUCUGAAAUGUAUUUAGUUACCCUUAAACAUUCAAUUCACAUUUCACCUACUUUGUUCCACCAUUUAAACCAAUCCUCUGCAUAGAUGAUCGAUACCAAUUCAGUAUAAUAGGGAAAAUAGCAGGAAAUAGUGGUAGAAAAGAGUAAUAAAACACUGUUUUAUUGAUAUCAAGCAAAAUCAGAGUGUUUCUGAUGAGGUAUAGUGUAUGAGCUACAAAGAGAAUAAAAUAUAAAUGUGACUGUAAUGGCCAGGCAGUUCGAGAAGUCUGGGAUCUCCCAAAGGUAAUUAACUAAAUUCAGUCUACCUCACUCUAUUGAUCAUUCCCUCUCGCAAGCUCACAGAUAAGCCAAAUACGCUAUGAGUCAGGGAAUUCUCUCCCAUUGCACGUGCUUUGCCCUUCCUAUCAUAUACUCUCUCAUAACUAUCAAAAGACUGUAUUGCUCUUUGCGCCAAUGACUAUCUUGAUUCUUGCACCUUUUAAUUAAAAAGUCUCCUGGCAGUCCUGCUACUUCGGAGCAAUAUAGCAUUGCUUAUAUAACUUAACUGUUAUAUAAAACCCUAAUGCUAUUCCCAACCUUUUCAUUUGCUGGUCUAUAUCUAGCUGUAAUAAUACAUUGUUACAACAACAGUAUAUUGGUACAACAACAGUAUUUGUAGGAUACAAAAUAAUAUCCGUUUGGGGUGUUAACCUGCAAGGACAUUGUUAUUAGGGACUUAUGGUUUUUCUUAAAUAUUGUCGAUAAUGCAUGCAUAUGAAGACAUUAUUGUGAAUAUAAUCUUUACAUAUGAUUUGGUAUGUUUUGUUUUAAUUGAUCUUGUUCCUUUUCUAUUUUCCAGGCUGAUUGCUCCGACUCUCCGAGUUUGUUUGAGGAUUUGUGUUACAGGUAUUUAUGACAGUAGUAUUAAUAUAUUGUAUUUCUUCUCUGGAGGAUUCUGCUUUAGAAGCCAGCUUGCGUAGGUUACAAAUGGCAUCUAUGGAGAGAGCAGCAAAACACACACAUUGAUAUUUUAGGCCUGUGAUGCUGCCUAUGAAAUUGAAUCUGAAAUGAUGUAACAAUAGAAUGUUAUCACAUGCUAUAGAUUAUAGAAAAACACUUGAAUAUUUUAUCUUGUUUUCUAUUCGGGGUUGAUAUGAAGAAUGAAGAUACAUACAUAAAUUCAAUACAAAAGUACAAACACAACUUAGGGAAUAAAUUCCACCGAAAUUUAUCGGGGCGUUGUGUAGCAUUUUUUUUUUUAUAUAGUCAUAUGUGAUUGAAACCAAUACACCACUUCUCCAUUAGCUUGUUGCUUAUUGUUUAUGCAUCUUUUGCUGCCAUUGAAGUUUUUACGUGGAGAAAUGAAAUAUUAUUUUUGGUGGAUACCCUGUGAUAAAAUUUAUUAAUUCCUUUAUACUAUUUUAUACCAUUUUAUUUGGAAAACAUACAGUCUCAACAAGUAGACUAUAGAAAGAAGAAAUAGAAUCAAUAGGAAGGAAAAUAAAGCUUAUUCUGAUCUAUUGGAGAGUUGAAUCAACAUUCUCCAAAUAUUGAAACUAAGAAAGGAAAAAAGGGAAAUGAGUCCAAGCUGGAGCUGCUAACUACACACAUUUUUUUCUCGACGAGUGAAAUAUUCCACCCCAAGCAUCACAAGACACCUCUACCCACCACCUUCUCUGAAGGGCUGUAAAGGGAUCACACGAUCAUGUGUUCGAAGGUGUACAAUAGAUCAUACAAAGACAUACACCAAUGGCAAGGCAUACAAAGAUAACACCGAUAUUACCCGCCAAAGAGAUGCUAUACAGACCAAAAACAGGUUGCUAAUUCACCAAUACAAGAACCUUAAAACAACCACGGACACCAUAGGACUCAAACAGAAAGAAUAGCAGCAAUGCAGAACUUUUUAUUGCACCAAACCGUCACCAAAACCAAAAAAUUAGCAGCAUAGUAGAACUAUUUGCAGCAUUCUUAGUUAUUCGAAACUAAUUGCAGAAAGCAAUGACUUGAAAACCUACUGCAAACGGAUCAAAACAACCCUGCAGAAACCAAACAAAGCUUAAUUCACAAAACACACCACCCCCGUCCUGUCAUCAAAUAUCCUUCCUUUGCUAGACAAUCCGUCUCUUGGUUUGCUUUCCCUAGGACAUGGACAAAUUCAACACCUUUCAUAAUCAACAUCAGAUUUUUUUUUAAUUUGUUAAAGUAGAAUCUCAAUUGCCACAGACUCUCGCAAAAUUCUUUAUCUAAGACAAUGCAUUAUUUAGGUCGGAUUCAAUAAUUAAUUUAUCUAAUACAAGCCACAAUUGAUCCAAAAGCACCUCGAGCGCAAAAACAAUAGCGAGCAGUUCCACCUCAUUUGCUUCCCUUUAUCAUCAUGAAAGACUCCUCCAGUACAUGCACGCCCAGGUUUCCCUCUAGCAGAACCGUCAACAUUCCACUUCAAAGAUUUUGAGGGGGGACCUGCCACCUUAAACACGAUCUCAAAUUCACUUCUUCACGCCACCUGCUAUGUUACGAGUCACAUCUCCCAGAGAGUACAUACAUUCUGGACACCGACUCUUCAUCCAAAAACCUAAUAUAAGCUUCAUAAGAAAAAGAAGCUUCUCCCAAUUUGUGGCACCAUUAUCAAACACUACUCUAUUAUGUUGGUUCCAUAUCGACCAGAAUACAACAUAACACAGAGAAAUCCAAAGAUUCCUCCUAAAGCCACCGUAAAAUGCUCCUAUCCAACGAUCAAACCAAACACUCGGUUUGUACGCAAUAUGCAUCUCGACAUUCCACGAGUGUAGUCCUCCCAUCCGAAUUCGACACUUUGUAGCUUCUACAAAAUCAUGGUGGGUCACUCUGAUACCAAACAUACAUGUAUAGUUAAGCAAGCAACAGAACACAUGUAUGAUAUAAAAGUGCAGCUAGCAAGUUUCCAACUCAUACAUUUCUCGGUCUUUUGGCUAAGAUCAAAUGUAGUAUAUAUUUUUAUCAAUUUAAUAUUUGAUAUGUGAGUCAUUGGCUCACAAGUUCAAUUUUUUUUGCAUUUCUUCUUAGAAAAAUUCUUUGAAUCCAAAUUUAUUUUAUUUUUGUUUUCCGGUAGUGGUGGUUAUUGUUGAUGGCGAACGGAGCAGGUCUUCAUUAUAAAUGUAACAUUAAUUCAACUCUUUUUAAUGAUAAUUAUCAUGUUGGUUUGGACAUGCGUCACGGGGAUUAUAGUGGCUCUUUCUCCCCACUCCAAAUGGAAGGGUUUUAGCCCUUAAAAGUUUUAAAAUGGAUUAACAAUUUUGGUAAAUUUAAUGUCACCUUUGAGUCCUAUUGUAGAACAAUUUAAAUCUAUUUUUUUUCACACUAACGAUUGUAAAUCUUUUGGAUAAUGAGGUUGGAAACAUAGUGUGACAUACUUAAGGUUUUUUCAUCUAAAUGUCAUGUCACGUAGUCAUCUUGCUUAGUUGUCAGAAUAGUGUUACGUUAGGUCUUAAAAACACAGCUCGGUCUAGUGUGGGAGAUCUUAAUAGGUCUCCUAUCGUGAGCAAGUGAAUGUAAAAAAUUCUAACUAUUAGAUUGUGAAGCUAUAUGAUUUUUAGCAUACACUGUCGGUAUCCAAUAUUUUUUUUAAUUUUAUUGUCACUUUUCCCAUUCUCUUUCCUCUCCAUCCCCAUCCUUCUUUCCACGACAGAUCUCCAGAAACACUCACAUUUGCCAUCUCCUUCCCGUUGUAGUCAUUUAUAGAUGUUUUUUCCUCUUUAAAUUUCCUUUAAAUCAUUGAAUUGAAAAUCAUGAUUGCAAAAGAUUCAAAUAGUAUGCUAUCUUCAAUUUCAAUUUACAACAAAAAAAAAAACCUUUAAUUUCAAUUUUCAACAUGUUGAUUUUACCAUACAUAUAAUUUCAUUAACGUACAUUCAGUCAGAUCUUUAGGUUAUUCCAUAUAUUCGAAGAACUAUUAUAGUCAAGCCACAUGUCCAACUAUAAUAAACGACAAGAACCGUUCCUAUGGCCAUAUAUGUUUUACAUUCCAUUUUCUAUUCCCUUCUCAGCGAGAUUCGAUGGAGAAAAUUAGUGGGUUCGUUGCUUUUUUCAGCAUAAGGUUUGGUUUUGGGUCUUGUUGAAUCUCUGUUGGGGUUGUUAAUUAUGUGUUUCUCAAUUUCAAACUGGUCUCAUUUCACUCUCUGUAUUUGAGUUUGUUUCAACUUCCCCGUGUUUUAAAACCAAAUUCAAAAAUAUAAUAAUAAUGACAAUAAUAAAUGGGUAAAACUGAGUGCAGCAAAGUAUGUAGGAUAAGGAGGGAGACUAUAUCCAUAGCCAAUCAAACUAGUAAAAAUAAACAAGGAAGAAGAUGCAAGAGAGGAGUAAGAGUAUAGAUUGAUACGGUGUGGUUAGGUGUACCAUGGACAAGCAACUUUUUCACUCACUCACGGUAGGAGACCUAUUAAGGUCUCCCACCCUAGAAGGCGCCUAAAAACACAAGUGAAGUACUUAAUUAAAAACAAGUAUUAGACGCAAAGUCACUUUAAUCUAAUUUGUGUUAGACAUUAACGCGCUAUUCUGUCUCCUACCAUUGUGAUCAAUCUUUUGGUAGGUUUGGCUUUAUUAUAACUUUAACUAAUGUAUGAAAUAAAAAGAAGAAUAGAAUGCCGGUUGUUGAAUGCAGUAUAAUAAAUAAUACUACUAAUGUAGUUGUAAUCAAUAAUAUUAAUAAUAAUAAUAAGUGGUAAUCAUGUUGUCCCCGGCCAUGGCCAGUUCCGAAAUUUCAAUCUCUAAUUAAGAACAAGAAAUUAAUAUGAAUGGCCACCCUGUCUCAUUUCUAUUAUUAGAUUAGAUGGUGUCCUUGUCAGAAAAUUUCAAUAGUGGAGAUUGUAAUUUAUCAUAUAUGAUGGCUUAAAAAAAUUUGAAAAAUUUAACAUGUGUAAUGUGUGUGCAAAUUAAUCUUAUUUUUGACUGGCUGUGUCUAAUCUUAUUAAGAUCAUGUUUAAAAGUGGCCUAAUUAUAAGUACACGAGUAAAAUAGUGUUCACUUUUUUUUUAUUUUUAUCUUCAGAUCAAUAAGAUCAUCCACAAUACAUCAUUUCAUUUGGGUGUUAAAACGGAUCCAACUGUACACGUCAUUCGUUUUAUAAUUAAUACUGAAUAAACACCCAAUCUCUCCAACCCAACACCUCAAAAUAAUUAUGAAUUGGGUCUCAACAGUAACUCUAUAUCUUUCAAUUGUAACAAUAAUUUAUAGGGUUAAAUAUGUUUUUGAUCCCUAUUAAAUUGGGAACUUUUAAUUUUAGUCCUUACUAAAUUUUAAUAGUUCUUUUGGUCCAUAAAAAAAAAUAUUUGCACCCAAAAUUAGUCACUCCUCAAUUCAAAUUUGUUUAAUUUAUGCUUAAACUCUUGAGUUUUUGAACAAUUUUUUUGCAAAUGUGUUAAGAAUAUUACUAAAAGUUCCUCUGCGAAAAAUUGUAGCAAAAUUUGAUUUCCACGUCCAGAUUUUGUUAAUUUUAUCUUUAACUUUUGUCGUUUUAAAAAAUUCAUAUUUAAUUCGUUUUAUGUUAAAAAGUUCUAAAUUUUAGUAAAUGAACCUCUCAUAGUGUUCUAAGGAUAGUUAAACAAACUUUGUUGUAACAGGGACUAAAAUUAGAAGUAAUUUAUUUUUUGCAGGGACUAAAAAACCUAUUAAAAUUAAGUAAGGACUAAACUUAAAAGUUCGUAAUUUUAUAGAGUCUAAGAACAUAUUUAACCCUAAUUUAUAUACUAAUUCAUAAUUAUAUAAUUUUAAAAUAUUGAAGUAAUAUAAUUAUAAAUCAUAUAAAAAAAGCGAACAUUUUUUAUUUUAUUAAUAAUUCAAGAAACUAUUAUUUGCAACUAUUAUAUAAUUUAUUUUUUAAUAUUAAAAUAAUACAAUAUUUGAAUAUAGAGAAAUAUAAUAGAAUUAAUUGUACAUGUGGGACCCAUGAGUAAUAGGAGGGAGGGUGCCUAUAAAAGCAUUCAUCUUUAUAAGCACCAUAAUCAUUGAUGUCACAAAGGAAAUGCCUAUUUAACAUGGUGCUAAAUAGGGGGAAGGACCCUCCAUUGUAGAUGGUCUAAGUAUUAUCAUAUUUCAUUUGAUCUAAUGAUGAACUUUAUUGAUUCAAUAAUGAAAAAAUUUUCGUACAUGAUAAAAUAUCUAUCUCACUUGUGCAUCAUAAAACUAUUCUUAAAAGUGAAUAAUAUUUUUCCAUCAGGUUCAUUAGUAACUUCAUUAAGGUUGCGACUUGGGGAAGGAUUCACAAAUUAUUAGCAGAGGACAUGGUUUUGGAUUUUCAAACUGGUUUGAUAAUCACUUAGAGUCUUAGAUAAUAGGGACAACACUUUCUUUUGGAAUGAUCCUAGGAUUGCAAGCCUCCAUAAAGGAAGGGGGGCAAUUUCCGAUGACAAAAGUGGGAAGCUCAAAUUGCGUAGUAGAGACCCCUAAAGAAGGGGGGAUCGAAGCUCUACAAAAAGAGGGCAACCCUAAUUUUUAGUGUGUGUGUGUGUGUGUGAGAGAGAGAGAGAGAGAGAGAGAGAGAGGUCAUCGCUAUAACACUCUAAUUCAUCAUUGCUAAUAACUUAACAGGUUGGUAGCAUGAGCAAUUCUUAAAUUACAUUGUGCCAUAUAUCGUGGCGGAUCUUGAGUUAAUUUGUUGGGGGUGCCAAACUUUUAUGGAAUAUAUAUUUAAUGGUUUCAAGUAUUAUCAAUAAUUAAUAGUUGGCCAAGUGGUUAAAAUGUUUUGAAGGAGCAAGAGGAAGUGGGUUUGAAUCCCCUCAAGAAUGCCAGCUCAAUUAUAGUUGUUAUUAUACUCUUAAUAUAGUAUAUAAGGAAACUUUGAGGGAUACCAUGUCACCUGCCCCCAAAGAGAUCCGCCCCUGGCCAUAUACUUAAAAAGAUGAUUGUUAGGAGUCUUAUAUUGAAUAAAUAAAAUUUCUCAAUGUCGUAUUUAGGUCUUGAGCCUCUCCUAUUUAGGUACUAUUGUUUGGAUGCGUUGAGCUUAUCUCGUAAGCUUAAGUUCUAACAAUUUGUAUUUUCAUUGAUAGUAGGUCGCAUAAUGAGCUUUUAUAAAUUAGAUUAAGGUGUUCCACUGAAUAGUGAUAUGUGAGUUAAGUCUCCAAAAAGGAAAUGACUACCUUCGCUCGUUAAUGCUGAUAGAGUGAAAGCAUCAGUAGAUGUUAAGAACUUAUUAGGCGUGACAAUGUUACGAACCUCACAUUAAAUAAAUAUAAAAGAGUUCAAUAUGAUACUUAAAUCAUAAAACUCUCUCUCUCAAUUAACUAAUAUUUUGGGUUGAGUGCCAUCAUGCGCUUUACUCGUAACAAAGGUUGAAGUUUAAAGAUUAUGUGAAGUUCACACAUUGUUGUUGGCAUAUGGUAUGACUAUGUUUAUAGAGUACUAGUUUAUGAAUUGAGUAGUGAUAAUUUAACAACCAUUUGAGAUAAUUUUUUGUGACAACUUAUUUUCUCUCUCUUUUCAUUGGUUAAAAACAUUGGAGAGAAAAAAAGGAAGAGAGAGAAUAAGAUAAUAAUAUAAGUGUGAGAGAGAAAGUUGUUAAAAAGUUGUCAUAAAUUGGUUGUAUAAAUAUAAUUUCUCUUGUGAAUUAAGUUUUAAAAAAAUAGUGUGUUCGACAAGUAACCUAUUGAAACUUUUAGGUUUUACAUCGAUCACAUUUACUGAAAGGCAAAAGUAAAGUUGCAAGAAAUUCCUUUGUUACGGGAUCAAAAGAAAAGUGGAAAAAAAAAAAGGAAAAAGAAGAAGCAUUCAUACUAUGCAUGGAAUAAUUAGCAAGAAUAAAAAGAAGGAAACGCAUAUGGGACCGAUUUGUUUGUGUUAUCCAAACAGAAUUUUCGGCAAGAUUCACAAAAGUGCUUUAUCAAGUAUAUUUAAAAGAAAAAAUUGCUAAAAAAAAAAAGUCUAUUUAAAAGAAAAAGAACCUAUUUAUUAAAUAACCAUAAUGGUAAUUUUUCAAAUGAGAUAAUUCUAUUUAAAAAAGAAAGUGGCAUUAAUAUUUUUUUUCAAUAUUUAUUAAAUGAAACUCACUUGCAUAUGAACUAUGAGUUUUUAGGUAAAAUAAAGUAUUAAAAAAUAAUAUUUAUUCAAAAUAAUAAUAAUAUCUAAUCCAUUUAAAAAAUGAAUGUAUUAUGUUUUUCAUAUUUAAGACAAAAAAUUGUGCGGUCCUAUAUUCAUCUCUUUAUGCAAGACCAUCUUAGAGUCUUAGUAAAUUCACAAAAAUUAUAAAAGAAAAAAUGUUUUUCAUUAAAAUUGUCAACAACCGCAUUAUCUUUUUAAUUAAGUGUAUUUUAGUUGUAAUUGAUUAAAAAAUAAAAAUGUGGAUAUUAAUAUAUCAAAAAGAGUUUCAUUAAGGUGUAUUAUUUUUAAAAAUUUACUCCUGCAUAUUGAAUUGAAAGAUCGUUCAUUUACUCAUGUAAUGUUGUUACUCGUUUAAAAUAUGUCUCAUUUAUAAAAAAGGGUUUGUCCUAAAUGAAUGACUUUUGAUUUUCAAGAUAAUACUAAUUAUUUUUAUUUUCCAAUUCUAAUAUCUAAUUAAUAUUAUUCUUUUUCCUAAGUAAAUACAUUUCAUUGUGUAUUUAUGUUAACGGUGAUUACACCCGUGCAUAUUAAAGAUGGUGGUAAGUGUUGAACAAGGUAACACAAGGUUGAGAAGUUAUCUUCCAACCAAGUGACACUUGGCAAAAUUGAGAAGUUAUCUUCUAAGUUAUAACUAUGUAUAUUUUACUAGAAUACAUCCAAUAGUUUUUUAUAUGGUAGUGUUUUAGUAAGCUACAUCUUAAGAUGCAUUUAACCACUUUUAAUUAUGACUUACUAAAACACACCUUCUAGCAAAUGCUUAUAGGAGUUGCUAAUAUACACUCAUUUAUUUUUUAGAAUGUGUGUUUUAACAACAUUCACCUUAAGGUGUAUUUAACAACUUUUUAGUUAUAUCUUUGCUAAAACACACCUUCUAAAGAAUAAAUGGAUGUAUCAUAGCAAACCCAUAUAUAUAUAUAUCUAUCUUUUAUUUUAUUUUUAUGUAAGCAUAUAUCCGUUCUAAAAUAAUUGACUUAAUUGAUUUUUUAAUAUAUAUUGAUGAAUAAUUUUAAUCUUUUAAAAUUUUAAUUAUUUAUUUGUAAAAUUUAUAUAAAAAAUUGAUUUUUUAAAAAUAUUCAUCGAGAUAAAUUCAACAUCAUAUAUGUUACUUCCUCCAUCCAUAAAUAUAUGACCCUUUUGUGAAAAACACGAGAAUUAGAAAAGUUGAUUAUAGUAUUAAUUUUGUUGACAAUUGCUAUUAUUUUACAAAUUUACCCUGUAGAAGGGUAUUUAUUACAUAUUGAAUAAAAAUAUGUAACAUAAAUAGGGGUAUAUUGGUGAAGAAAUAAUUAAUGUACUUUAAAAUUUGAAAAGGGUAUUAUAAAAAAGGACAAAGAAAAAACUCAAAAGAGUCUUAUAAUUAAGGGCAGAGGUAGUACCAUUAAUCUUUAAAUACUAGUGAAUAAAACUCAAGAGGGAUGGAUCAAACUCAAUUGUGAUGGAGCUUGCAAAGAGAAUGGAGAUCGCUCGGGUUGUGGAGGUUUACUUCGGGAUGCUAAUGGUAGAUGGAUCAAAGGUUUUGUCCGCAAGAUUGGCGCGUGUGAUGCUCUUCAUGCAGAGAUGUGGGGUAUGUACCUUGGUCUAGAGUUGGCUUGGAGGGACGGUAUUUCUCAGCUUUGCGUUGAAAGUGAUUCAAAAUUGCUUAUUGACAUGAUAACAAAUAAUUGCAAGAUGAAUGGGACAAUCCCUGUGCUCAUUCGGCGUAUUCAAAAUAUUUUGAAUCGUAAUUGGCGGAUUCAGGUUCAUCACACUUUGCGAGAAGGCAACAGAAGUGCUGAUUGGCUUGCCAACUUCAGCCUUACCAUGGAUUCAUGGAAUUUUACUAUUUUGGAGACCCCUCCUAGUGAGCUCAAUAGUCUCCUCUUUGAUGACAUCUCUGGUGCUUGUAUGCCUAGAAAUGUUCGUGUAAUUGUUUAGUGUUCUCUUUUGGGCUUCGGCCCUCUCUUGUACCAAAAAAAAAAAAAAAAGAUCAAAAUAAAGUCCGCAUCAAAAGGAAACUAUAUACAUCGGUUGGGUGUGACCUCAGAUUGGUUGGGUUAAGCUUAAUUUUGAUGGUGCUUGGAAGGGAUCUGGUACUCUUACAAAGUGUGGAGGGCUUUUUCGAGACUCUGAAGGCAGAUGGAUCAAAGGCUACUUCAAGAAGAUUGGAAUGUGUGAUGUUUUUCAUGUUGAAAUGUGGGGCAUGUACAUGGGUUUGGACUUGGCGUGGAGGGAGAAUACCACUCAUCUUAUAGUGGAGAGUGAAUCAAAGAUCUUGGUCGACAUGAUUACUGAAAAAUUGCAAUUUUGGUGGAACGACUCCUACCUUGGUCAAGCGUAUUCGACAACUUUUGAGUUUGAGUUGGACUGUCAAAAUAACCCAUACUUGGCGUGAAGGCAACAAAAGUGUAUAUUGGCUUGCUAAUUUCAGCAUUUCGAUGGAUUUUUUAGAUUUUCAUAUUUUGGAGAAUACCCCUAGUAAGCUUCAUAGUCUUUUGUUUGAUGAUAUUUCGGGGCCUGCAUGCCUAGGAACGUCCGUUUAAUUUUUUAGUUUUCUAUCUCUUUGGACUUUGACCCUCUUUUGUACCAAAAAUAUAAAAUAAAAAUAUGAUCAAAAUAUAUUAGUAGGUAAAUAGUGUCUACAUUAAACAAGAUCAAUUAGUUUAGGACCAAUGAUGUAAUUUACUGAACAUAUCACUUUUCUACACAUAAUACUACUCUUCAGUUUUAAAUGAGUGUCAUUUUAGCGAACAAAAAAAUGUUUUAAAAUGAAUGUUACUUGCAUCACUUUUCAAUGUAGAAUUAUUUUUGUACUUUCACUCAUACCCUCUAAUUAAUUGAGUAUACACUACUUUUAAAGACUUUUUCAAUACUCCCUCCGUCUCAGUUUAACUGAGCCAGUUGACCAUUUCACACAUAUUAAAAAAAAUGUAUAAAUGAAUAAGAGAGAAAAAUGGUUUUGAGUGCCUUUGUCAAGUAUUGAUGCAUUUUUCUUUAUCAUAAAUGUAAAAAUAGAAUAUAUUGAAUUAGCAGUGAUGAAAGUUAUAUUAAUUAGAGUUAUAAUUAAAAAAAAAGUAAUUCAUAUCGUAUUGAAAAGUGAAAUGAAUCAAUAUUUAUUUACAAAUGAUGAGUUAUUAUUAUGGUACAAAGAGAAUAAUAAAUAAUAUUAGUUUAGUAAAAUUAUCAUGUAUUUUAACAUAAUUAUUACAUUUUUUAAUUUAUACAUGUAAAAAUCUUAAACGACGGUUAUUUUGAUGAAAUUAAGAAGUAUAGAUUAUUUUAAAACCUAGGAAGUAAAAAUAUUAAAAUAAAACGAAAAAUGCGAUUGGCAGCGAUUUACCAACUACCGCAGUGAGUGGGACCAAUAUCAAUAUCCGUUGUACACACUCACUCACCGUUUAACAACAACCACAUUGGCCAUGAUAAUUGGACUGGUCCCACACUGCUCAUCACAGAACAGAACCACCACCUCACCUAGGUAGUUGUUGGCCCCACUUCUUUCUCUCUCUUCUUUUCAUUCAUUCAUCAAUAGAAAAAUAACAGAAUACUAGAAAGAAACCACUUUGUCUCUUCCCAAGAUCUAAUCUAAUCACAUUUCCCUCUUUUAUCUUCAACUUCUCUUCUUUUUUCUUCAUUUUAGAUACAUAGAUAGAUCUCUCUCUUGCCUUUCGCUUUAGCUACUUUAAUUUUCCCUCUUCAAUUUAUUCCACUUACUAUUUUUGUUUAUGAGUGAGAAAUUAUUGAAAUUAAUGCAAUAAUAUGGGGAAGAAUAAGCCAAAUUGGUUUUCUAAUGUCAAGAAAGCUCUUAGCCCUGACUCUAAACAAAACAAACAUCAGGUUUGCAUUUCAAUUCGCUUACUACUUGUCAGAAUGUUUGAGAGAAUUUAUCGCUACAACUUAUUUUUGUGAUAGAAAUAGCUUAUACAUACGCACUUAGGCUAUAAGCGCUUAAUAUGUUUAAUCUGGUGUUAGCAAUUGAUUUUGCAGAAUUCAAGUGGAUCAAAGAAGAAAUGGUUUGGGAAGAAAAAAUUGAACACUUCAGAUUCAUAUCCAGAAACUGAUCAAGCACCUCCUUUUCAUCCACCUGAGGCUGAGGAGGAGAUUAUUUUAACUCAUGUUCAGAAUCAAAACAAUCAUGAUCAUGUUGAAGUUGUACCAGAUGUGGAUGUUGAUGUACCUGUUCCUGAUGUUCAGAUAGAAACUGUUGAGGUUCAAGCCGCUCCAAUUGUUCAGGUUGCUAGUAAACCGAAUGAUGAAGUUGCGGCAAUCAUGAUUCAAACCACUUUUCGGCGAUACUUGGUAUUUAUUUUGUGUCUUACAAUUAUGUGUUUGAAUGUUUUUACUGCAAGUGAAAAAACCUCAAUUACAAAAUUGAUAUUUCACUUCUUGUUUGAAACUUGAAUGUAAAUCAGUACAACAAAAUAUGUGUAAUGCGUUGUCCUCUUUAACAAUGCCAAUUUAUGCUUCAUUAGUGGUAACCGAUGAUUGCUGCAAAAGAAAGUUUAUUAAUUCAAUGACUUUCUACUUUCAAGCUGAAUUUUGUUUUGAUAUCAUUCAGGCAAGAAGAGCAUUUCGGGCUUUAAGGGGGCUGAACAGGUUAAGAGCACUAAUGGAAGGGCCAGUGGUAAAACGUCAAGCCAUUAGUACCCUCCGCUCUAUGCAGACUUUAGGUCAUGUGCAAUCCCAGAUUCGUUCGAGGCGGGUCAGGAUGUUAGAGGAGACUCAAGCUCUGCAAAAACAGCUCUUACAGAAGCACACAAAAGAACUAGAGAUACAGGUAAGUAACUGAAGGGUUAGCGCAUAUUUUUAUGUAUUUAAAUUUUAGCUUAUGGAUUAUGGAAUGCUUUUAACUUGUUUCAAAUUCUCAUAACAGAUUGGGGAGGAAUGGGAUGAAAGCAUACAAUCAAGAGAGCAAAUUGAAGCCAAGUUACUAAGCAAGUACGAGGCUACGAUGAGAAGAGAAAGAGCAAUGGCUUAUUCAUUCACUCAUCAGGUUUGCUAUUUUUCUUAAGAAGUUGCAUUUGUUUUAGGUUAGUCAGGAAAAGAAAUGAGAAAAGAGCAUGGAUGAAAUUUUGAUGAACUGAAAGAUCAAAGGAAAAAUGGCUAGUAAGGUAAAUUAAAAAAAUUUACACAUAGUAUAAAGCAUGGAUGAAAUUUUUUUAACUGAAAGAUCAAAGGAAAAAUGACCAGCAAGGUAAAUUGCAUGAAAUUUUUACACAGUAUAAAGCAUGAUUAUCAAAUUGAGAUUAAUUUCCGAAUUGUUAGUCGAAUCUUGUUAUGGAUCGUAAGAUAUAUUACCGAUAAAAAUGACAUUUUUAUGAGAAAAAAAAAUGACCUGGCAAAAUUAAAAGCUGAUGAACAUCAAAAUAACUCAAGAUUUAAGUCACAAAUCAAUCGACAAAAUAAAAGUAGUUAGCUAUAUGAGGUUAACAAAAAAAAUGUCUAGCUACUCAAGUUAGGCAGUGAUUCAGCAGAAUGAAUUGAAAUUUAUCACAAUGAACCGGGACUCAUCAUAACGAAUCGGAAUUUAAUGUGGGAGUAGUGUCCAAAAUAAAUACACACUUAGGAUUCAUGUCGUGUGGGUUCUGUCUAGUAUCAAAUCGAGAUACGGCUCACAAAUAUCGUAAGAUACUAAUAAUCAUGCUAUGAAGUAUCAAAAUGAGAAUCCCGAGGGUUAUUGUCAUACUAUUUUAGCUUAUUCUAUGUUUCCUCCUCUCUUUAAGUUGUUUUUAUUUCUUCUAACACCCAAGCUUAAUUAACUUUGGGUGAUAUAUCUUGUCUUUUUCUUCAGAACCUAGCAUCUGCUUAUGCCUCUUAAGUUUGAUUUUCUCCCUGCCUCGGUGAUUCCUUUCCCUGUCGUGUUCUGUAACGAAGUUACAUAGCACUCUUUUGAGAAUUACAGAAAGUGGAAGUUUGAAUCAUUUCUUUCGUAGUACCUCUUUCUAAUCUGGACCUGGUAUGAACCAGUUUUGCUAAUGAGCGUUCCAGACUGAUCCACAAAUAUAUCUGAAACUACGUAACACUUGAUUUAUUUUCUGCCCACUUCCCCUUCCCCACCUAAAAAAGAAAUAGAAAAUGACUUUUCUUACCACAAUUUUUAUAUCAGAUGCGACUCAAAUCCUCUAGUCUACUUUGGUUCAUGGAAGAGAAAAAAAGCAUUAUAGAUUAGAAUUCUGACAAAAAAAGAUGUCUAAUGAGCAAUAUCUAAAACUGCUCAAUGCUGUUUAUGAAUUCCCACCUCGAUUAAUUUUGUUAAGCUUCUCCUGAGUUGUCAUCGACAAAAUUGCCAAGAAGUCCUAUAUGUUUAAAUUGUCUGUAACAUAAUUUUCAGUUUGUCAGAGACUAAAAAUGUAACUGUUUUGUGAGAUUGCUAGAUAUACCUGGUGAACUCGGUGAUUUACCUAUUUUCUGCUAACAUAAUUUUCCAGUUUGAGGCUUCUCCAAUUUUAUUUUUUUCCAGUUUGAGUUUCUUGAUCUUUCGAACAACUUAAGUACCAAGUUUGACCUAAGAUAAAUAUACACUUCUGUUUGACAGAAAAACGGGCGGAAUGCAUCGAAAUCUAUAAAUCCAAUGUUCAUGGAUCCAACCAAUCCUAGUUGGGGAUGGAGCUGGUUAGAACGUUGGAUGGCAGCCAACCAAAGCCUGAUGGAAAAGGAGAACAAUUCAUCUGCAAAAAGUUCAAUCCGUGGCAUUACCAGUGCUGAAAUCAGCAAAUCAUUUGCUCGUUUCCAGCUCAAUUCCGAAAAUCAUUCUCCAACAGCGAGCCAAAAUCCAGGUUCACCUAACUUCCAAUCCAACUCAAAGCCUCCCAAGCCAGCAAUUGUCAAGAAACUGAAUAAGGCUAGUCCAAAGGUUAGCUGUAUUAUGGAUGAUGACACCAAAAGCAUGACUAGUGUGCAGUCGGAGCGAGUCCGGAGGAGGCACUCCAUUGCUGGAUCAAUAGUGAGGGAUGAUGAAAGUCUUGCAAGCUCUCCAGCUGUUCCAAGUUACAUGGUGCCAACUAAGUCUGCAAAAGCCAAGUCCAGGUUGCAAAGUCCAUCAGCUGCAGAGAACAGUACUCCAGAAAAAGGGUCCUUUGGAAAUGCAAAGAAACGGCUUAACUUCCCGGCUUCUCCUGCCAGAUCAUCAAGGCGGCAUUCAGGCCCACCAAAGGUAGAAAGCAGCUUAAAUGCAGAAAUUACUGUUGGCAACGGCGUGGCUGUUUGAUUAUAUAACCUGAGGAAAAGAAUGCAAAGCACUCCACUAGUAAUGGAAUUAUAUCAUGGAAGAAAUAAGAAAAGUUCGUUUGCAGUUUCCAUUUUUUAUUUUAUUUAUUCAUCCAAAUUUAUGUGUAGCUUAUCAUUUCCUUGGAGGCUGUUUUCUUUACUAUGUUCAUCUAUAUUUGUAUUUUCAUGUAUUUAUUUACUCACAAAUGUGGUUCAUGAUGGUAUUGUGACAGAAGAACAAGUGAGCUGUCAGAAAUCCUUGAGAGCAUUCCCAUUUGGAACUGUUAUCAUUCUGUUAUCUUCAUUCUUGUGAUAUAAAAUGUAUAUUUAAUUUAAUUGAUGACCUCAUUUCUUAUUUGUGAUUUUUUAUGUUACAUUGUUCUGGUUAGCUAUGAUAUUUGUGUUGUGUAUGGCUUGGUUGAAGAACGCAAGAAUAUUUGUUGUAUAUUUGGGAAGUGGCAACAGAUCUUGUCUCUAGUUACAUUAAUAUACUUGUCAUAAUAUAUAUUGUUUUAUUUAAGAUUUUUUACCAAAAUAUUUUAUUAAAGAUAUUUAUUAUAAAUAGUAUAAAUAAGUAAUUCUGUCCCUAGAUAUUUAUUCAUAAAAAAAAAAAAGUUUAAUGGUCAAAUACGACAAAUACAAUUUAAACUUAUGCCGGUAUUUCAAUGGUUGGUCGGCUUAUUGCAUGUGUUCCAACCUCUUCUAUUCGAUUUGAAAUUAGGCAUUGUGAACAAAUACGACAAAUAUGCUUAAAAAACAUAUUUUUUUCCUUUUGUAUGGAAAAGCUUAUUAUUUUUCAAGAGUUUAAUGGUCAUGCAAUGACGGCAUAGAAAUUCCUUAAAAAAGCAUCGUUGUAAAUUAAUUGUAUAUUGAUAUUCAAUAAACAUGCUUUAUUUUGCCACACCACAUCAUCAAUUUUAAGAUAUAGUUACAAGAGUGAAAGAAUGUGCAAAAGGAUGAUUUGUUUUAGAUAUCGGUCUAAUUAAUUUACACUUACUUAAUGUGGAAAGAUCAUUUACAUGGGAGUUUCUAUGGUACAUCCUUAAAUUAAAGUGUACUGAUACACCUAUUUUAUAAAUCAACAAGUUAUCGAUCAUUUUUCUAUAAUAAAGAUAUAUUUAUCAACUUUUAUAUUUUAGAAAAUAUUAUUUUAUAAGAAAAAACGUCAUUUCAUCCUUUAUAAGAAUCAUACUAAUUUUUUAACAUUUUAUCCAAAAAAAUAAUCAAUAUUCACUAUUAUGGGUAUUAAAAAUUAAAAAAAAUUGAAUUUUGAUUUGCCGACACUUUUGAGAAAUAAAAUAUAAUUAUUAUAAUUGUAACCAAUAAAAAAUAUAUUUUUUCUAAAAAAAGUAACUCAUUAAACUAUUCAUUUAACAUAUGAGUGUACCGGUAUACUCAAUUUUAUUGAGUGUACCAUAGAAAUUAUUAUUUGUACACCUUUGCUUAAGUGAAAUUUAAACAUGGCAAAGACACCUUUGUUUAAGUAGACUUUGGCAUCCUAAACUUUUGUUGUGUACGUACCAAAAAGGGGUCUAACGGAUCAAUUUAACUCGAUUUUUCUGAGCGAAAAAAAAAUAUGUUUCAAUAAAAAUUGGUAUUUAGUCUCACACCUUUAAUAUUGAAUAUUUAAUUAUUAUUAUUAUUUUUUUAUGGUGAUCGGGGUUUGAACUCCGACCUUGCAUAUAUUAUGCAUUGUGCAUAACAACUGAGCUAUGCUCACGAGGACGAAUAUUUAAUUAUCUAAUAACAUGUUAUUCAUUUAUUUUUUCUUCAAAAAAAUGUUAUUAAUUUAUUUUAAAUUAAAUUUAUACGUUAAAUUAAUGAAUUACAACUAUACUGUGUCAAAAAAAGUAGUAAAACCAUAGGGUGUCCAACAAGUCACUAAUAAUUAGAAGAAAAAAAUAAUAUUUUUUUUAGAGGAAAAAAAAGUCCAGGGUGUCCAACAAGUUAUUUUAGUACAAAACAUACGAUAUUUCUAGAAAAACUGUGCAUUGGCGGUUUGGACGCUACGAGAAAACUAGACGUAUUGAGCAAGAAAACUCAACAAAACAAAAUAAAAACCGCAGUUUUCUUUCAUUCUCAACCUUAUUUGUUC